GUUUCUGUUCUUCUGUUAAUUGGUCUCUUGCACUGUACUCCCUCCGUAAAUUAAUAUAAGAGCGUUUAGAAUACUAAAGUAGUGAUCUAAACGCUCUUAUAUUAGUUUACAGAGGGAGUACAUUGUACUCCACUGUCCAUCCCGUUACAGCGAGAAAGUCGUAAAUAAAAGGGGAAAUACAUCACAUAUCAAAAUUAGUUUUGCACUGCCUGUGUACAGUUUCAGCAAUUUGGCUAAACCAUGGUCAUCUUUUGCGAGUUGUGAUAUGCCAUCUCUCACACCGGCCAGCAAAUCCUUCUCGAUGCCAGACAUGCCAUGCUACUGUAUUGGCCAUCUCUGGCCCAAGCAUGCAUGUAGCUGAAAGGAAUCUACUUACCUACCUAUAUGUGUCAAGAUUAAGCAACACAAGUACUAUUUCUCACAGCAUCUGAAGUAAUCCCUCUGUUCUUUGAAAAGUGUACAUCCAACUUUGUUGGAAAGUCAAAUAUUUUUAUGUUUGACCGUAUUUGUACAAUAACGCACCAACAUUUAUGCCAUCAAAUUAGUAGCAUUAGAUUGACGAUAAAAUAUAUUUUCAUCAUAUACCUAUUUUGUUUCACAAAUAUUGAUAUAUUUUUGCACAAACUCGGUCAAACAUUGAGAUAGUUUGACCCUCCAACAAAGUUGGAAGUACACUCUUUAAAGGACAGAGAGAGUAGUAGUGUAGAAAGAGGGAAUACUGUGUAUGUUUCUUUCUCAUGUUUUUUUUUUUCUUGUGGGUGGUUUCUUUCUCAUUUUGGCUUCGGGAUGGAAAAAGAACAGCUGUAGCAUGUAGGAGUACAUAUCCAACUAAUUUUGCUGAUAAAAGUUACUCCUAUAUUAUUGGCACCCUUGAUAAUAACAGAUGUAUUUCUAAACAGAGUCUUCACACAUCAGCACUUUUGAUCUGUAAAAAAAAAUGCUAAUUCGUUUUGCAAGAAGGAAAUCUUGAAUGAGUAGUGAUCUCUCACAUCCCAAAUUUAUUGACUAAUAAGGCUAUAACAGAUGCCGUAGCAAAAAUCUACGUGUGUGUGUGUGUUGGGGGCCGGGUACAGCUUUGCCAGAGUUGAUUUGUUGUACCAAGUACACACAGUCUUGUUGGUCAGCAACAGCCUGUAAAACAAUUAGCCGUAUUUUAGGAGUUAUUUGGUCCCCUCAGUUUGCGUUGUUCUGUUAUCGAGCAAGUCGUAAGUUCUACACUAUACAUGGUAUCGACCUUUUUGUUUUCCUUUUCUUGUUAGAAUUAGAAAGAGGAGUACAUGACACGCAUAUUGUUCACAGUUUCAGCAAUUUGGCUAAAGUGUGGGUGCCUUUGAGUCAUGGUAUUGACUGGCAUGUUCCGUUUCGUCUUCCCUCUAUGAUGAUAUGCCAUCUCUCUCUCACACACAGUGACCAGAUUUUUAUUUUUAUUCUUGUAGAUGCCAACAUGCCAUGCUACUACUGUAUUGGCCAUCUCCUGCCCAAGCAUGCUCGUUAAUAAGUUGCUGAAGGUAGUACUGUUUUUGCCUCUGAAAAAGGGUGUACUGUUUUGUGCUGGAUGUAGCUGAAAAGAAUCCACUUACCUACCUAUAUAUGUGUCAAAAUUAAGCAACACAAGUACUGCCGUUUCUCAUGCUAGCCUCAAGAUGGAAAGAAGAACAGCUGUAGCAUGUACAUACAGAUCCAACUGAUUCUUGCUGAUAAUUUACACAUUAUUGGUGCCAUUGAUAAGCACCUAUAUCCCUGACAGAGUGUGUUGCCUUUGAUUUUUUUUUUUGUCAGGGAAAAAUAUCACCGCUCAUCCACCGCCACCACCACUGGCUCUGGCUCUGUGUUGCUCCGAGAAAACAUGCUCACAUGGCGAUCAGAGGGUCGGCUUAAUGCGAGCACAUGGGCCUAGUACGUGCACGGCCGGCCUCCCCCGGCACGUAUUUAUUUCCUGGAUGGGUGCAACCAUGAAUGUUCUUACCGCACUGCACAAGGCAGAUCUGCCCAUCCAACCGGCCAUAUCAGACGCGUAUUCGGAUGGCGCCAUGACAAGGGCCAGUUCAUCGGAUCGCAUGAGACCAGCGCGACAUAUCGUCGGCCAAUUCCGAUAUUCUCGCCUUUGCUCGCUCAGGUUCCAUGGAUGUAUGGGCUUAUGGACAUUUGCCACUUGAAAGAUCGGUCAGUACAUCAUUUUCUCCAUGGUUUCUUGUUGGAAGUUGGAGCAAGGAGAGGAGGUUCGUCUUCCAUGGAGUACUUCCUCCUUUCCGGUUUAUAGGGCUUAUCUCAAAAUCUUAGUUUUUUCAUUUUAUAAGGCUCACAUCACAAUUUCAGAUUCCAAGAUGCAUUAAAUAAUUGCAUGCAAGUAUUAAGAGAAAAUUGACCAAUGCAUGUACUUUGUGCAUGCAUGCAUUGCAAUUAAUAUAUUGGUAAACAUAAAUUUUUGAGGAAAAUAAAAGCAUUAAUUGGGUGUUUUUGCAAAUUACGAAAAGUAUUCCACCACUUAUCAUCUAUCUUGGUUGGUAAGAUUUUUGAAUUGAGCCCUAUAAACCGAAAAGGAGGGAGUAGUUUUACAUACUAAUACUAGUACAUGAUCUAGCAGUGGACCAUCCGAUCGCCAAGUCGUGAUUCCUCCUCCUGCCAUCAGUUAAUAACGGGGGCUGGCUGGAAGCAGCUGCAGCCUGCAGGAGUGCAGGACACUUGCCGGAAAACGGCAUUAGGAGGAGUGUCUGCGUCCGAAAAUACCCAAAACCGUUCGUGCUAAUCCCUUUUGGCGCCUCUUGAUUGAUUGGAUCGUAGGCCGUGGACUGGUGGUCGAACUGACCGUGACAGGAUUUCUUUUCGUUCAGUGCGUGAUGGCGAAACGGGGGCGCAGAUCAUGGUCAUGGGUUUAUGAGAAAGGGAGAGGAUCGAGUUUUCUAGUUAUGUUUCCAAGUCCAGCUCCCAACGGCGCACACACACACAGAUAUGCAUGCACUAUACCACUAGCAUGAUCAAUCAAAGGAUUAAAUGGAGAGCAUUUUGGUGGCGAGAGAGUAGUUAGCCGUUGCUGGCCAGGUUCAGAGUUUCGUCGAAACUGUUGCUUUUGGUUUGAAAAAUUGUACGCCGGCCUUGACCGUUUCAAAAUUUGUGAAUAAUCGAUUGGGCAUGGGAUGGGAAUGCAUUCUCGUGGACGUACGGGGACUAGUGAAGCUGCAUGGGUUGGCGCCAGAAGGCUAGGCCUGGUUCGCUGACAAUGGUGCUGCAUGCAUGCAUGCAGGCAGCUACACUACACCUAAUAAAGAGGCCGUCCAUGAAAUGAAAUGAAUCUGAUCGGAUGAGCCGGCCGGCCUCUUCAUUCUGCCAUCACGUUUCACGCAAUUAAUAACGUCCGGCUACAGCUAGCCCGCUGCGCAAAUGCCAGAUCCAAUCCACUUCAUCUUCAUCCCAGUAGUACUUCCUCAAAACAUUAAAAAAAAUCGCCCCAUAAACACUAAAAUUAAAACUAAUACAGUUUCCUAUAAAACAGUAAAAAAUGUAACUGGUAGAGCCAAAUAUAUUCUGCUCUUUCAACGGCCAAAAACUUUUUCUGGUGUCACAGCACAGGCAGACUCCAAAUGCGAAACGCAUGCAGCUGAAGUGUGCCACACACAAGAAAGCAAUCACCUUGCACAUUUUUCUCCCCGGAGCCGUUGCCCUUGCACAUGGUGUCUCAAAAGCUACUUGGCUUUGCGCCCCGGGACAGCAUGUCAGCCUCAGAGCAAGAGAGAGAGAGAGAGAGAGAUAUCAUGUGUGUGUCCAUGACCACUUGACCAUGCAUGCAUGAACGAGUCUGAACACCGAGCACCAUGCCCCCAAGCAACCAAGCUUCUCUUGCCUGGCUUGGCUUGUGCUCCCUAAUGGCAUUAACUGCCACCCAACAACCCGCCCACCCACCAUCUCCUCCCCAACCCCAACCCCAGCCCCAGCAGCAACGCAACGCCACCAUCCCUAGCUAUAUCUAAACACUGAGCACUCCCACUCCCUCUCACCCUCAUCACCACCGCCCACCACCAGUCCCGCCCGCCCCCAGCUGCCAUGGCGCGGGAGGAGCUGUCGACGGAGAUCGUGAACCGCGGCGUGGAGCCGUCGGGCCCGGACGCCGGGUCGCCGACCUUCUCGGUGCGCGUGCGCCGCCGGCUGCCCGACUUUUUGCAGUCGGUGAACCUCAAGUACGUGCGGCUCGGGUACCACUACCUGCUGAGCCACGGCGUGUACCUGGCCACCAUCCCGGUGAUCGUGCUGGUGUGCGGCGCCGAGGUGGGCAGCCUCAGCCGCGACGAGCUGUGGCGCAAGGUGUGGGACGAGGCCACCUACGACCUCGCCACCGUGCUCGCCUUCCUCGCCGUCCUCGCCUUCACCAUCUCCGUCUACAUCAUGUCCCGCCCCAGGCCCAUCUACCUCAUCGACUUCGCCACCUACAAGCCCGCCGACGAACUCAAGGUAGUAAGCUCAUCCUAAUCCAUCUCCUCAUGCUUACUCUGCUUAGGUAAUUUUCUUCUUCUUUUCGAAACCCUGCUUAGUUAAUUGCAUGGAGUAGAUCACUAUAUGUGCAUGCAAGCAUAUGUCAUAGUCAAAGUACUAGUACAUGCUAAUGUCGAUCUGGAUCGUGUGCAAGAAUAUGCAUCACAAAUGAACUGAAUUUUUGGCAGGAUUUUUCUUUUUCCUGAUUAAUUCCACACACGUACAUAUGCAAUGUUGAAUCGUUGAUGGCAUUUUAUAUGUAACAAAUAAGUUGAGACGGAGCUGCCACAAAAGUUGCUGGAUCCGCUAAAAAGAAGUUACUUGAUCCAGAUCAAAUAAAUGUUUGGGAGUAGAUAUGGGUAUGUCGUGAGUUUCUUGGGCGAUUCUCGUGAAGUCGACAUGCAUAAUUUGCACAAGUCACGUUUUGGCGCACACGAAUUUUGCGUGAGACAUAGGUCCAACCCUCCGGAAUUCCUUCGCGUACUAGUCUAGCUAUCUUCUGAACUGGACCUCGCUAGUUAGCAUGAAUGGGAAAACCAUGCCCCGAAAUACUUUAUUUAGCUUCUUUUUUAUACGCGUAUUGUAGAAGAAAUACUUGGUCUUCAGCUUCUUUUUUAUAUGCAGCUGUGAUAAUCAAACAAAGUAAAAUGCUACGGGUAGAAAUAUUUUGACAACCCAGUGUUCAAAAGAUGGCUAACACGGCGCUACUAAUCAGGCUCUAAAUAACGAUGCAAACACAUAAAAAAACAUCCAGACCAGAUUAGGCAGAGUUUCAUGUAAAUCUAUAACUCGAAGGCAAUUAAACCGUGCUGCCCUCAAGUUAACUCAUAGAAAGUUACUGUCAUGUUUGGUAAAGUAGAUAAACCAAACUGACCAACAAAGUACGUAUACAAGUAGCUACGUGAUUGAAUGCGACAUCUCUUUCAACUUUUCUGUUAGGCAACUACUCUUCCACACAUUGUUAUACUCCUACGGUUAUGUAUAUACCAGAAGGGAGUAUGGCCAGUGGUUCAGUGAGAGAUUGGGUUCAUACUACGGCUCAAGCAAACGAAAUUUACUCCCAUGAUCCAUCGAUCCCAAAUGCCAGAGGAGUAAUGUGAGGGUUAUGGGUAUGCCCUCGCCAGUACCCGUACCUGCCCCUGUCUCUCCAUUAAUACGCUCCUAGUAGUUCUGGCCAGCUGCCACCAAUCAGGCUACUAGCUAUCAAUGUUGCAUUAACUUUGUAAUCUACAGUCUACAUAGUGUAGUGGGACGAUGGAGUCAGUCAGCGUACGGUAUUGGACAAGAUCCCUUUCUUUAAAAAAAAAAAGCGUACGGUAUUGGAGACCGUAGAUGGCAGGGCAUUUUGUAAACACGCCCCUCACAUACUGAUGAAUUAUCCUCUAGCCCGGCAGCUGAUUAGGCGCAUCGUCCUCUGGGCCGGGCCCUCUGUGAGUGAGUGAGUGGGGGCGGCCCGGAAGUUAUGACGACGGAUGGAUCGCCGUCGAGCAGGUAGAGGGAGGUUUCGGCUGGGGUACGUCGGCCGGUCAUCCAAUACGGUUGGCAGAUCCCGCGCGCACACACGCACAAUUAAUGACCCGUCCACGAAACCUAGCUUCUUAUUUCUUCUGAUGAAAAUGAAAGAAAAUGUUUUAGAAAUUAUCGAUGUAGACAAAGGCAAAGUUAGGGAAAAGAAAUAGUACUGGUGAAUGUCAUGAGAUCACCAUGACCUAGUUAAACUCCUAAUUUUAGUAACGUCAAGCAAUCCACCGGAGUAAAAAACAUCAACCAAGCAAGCAUGCAUGCAUGCAUGCAAAUUGUUCGUACUGCCGAAAGGGGUGAAAAUGUAAUGGCGUUUGCUGAUUGCAGGUGUCCAAGGCGGAGUUCAUCGACCUGGCGCGCAAGUCGGGCAAGUUUGACGAGGAGAGCCUGGCAUUCCAGGCGCGGCUGCUGGCCAAGUCCGGCAUCGGGGACGAGUCCUACAUGCCGCGCUGCGUCUUCCAGCCCGACGCCAACUGCGCCACCAUGAAGGAGGGCCGCGCCGAGGCCUCCGCCGCCAUGUUCGCCGCGCUCGACGAGCUCUUCGACAAGUGCCGCGUCCGCCCCAAGGACGUCGGCGUCCUCGUCGUCAACUGCAGCCUCUUCAACCCCACCCCCUCCCUCUCCGCCAUGAUCGUCAACCACUACAAGAUGCGCGGCAACAUCCUCAGCUACAACCUGGGGGGCAUGGGCUGCAGCGCGGGGGUCAUCUCCAUCGACCUCGCCCGCGACAUGCUCCAGGCCAGCGGCGCCGGGCUCGCCGUCGUGGUGAGCACCGAGGCCGUGUCGUUCACCUGGUACGCCGGGAAGCGCCGCUCCAUGCUCAUCCCCAACGCCUUCUUCCGCGCGGGCGCGGCCGCCGUGCUGCUGUCCAACCGCCGCAGGGACUUCCGCCGCGCCAAGUACCAGCUGGAGCACGUGGUGCGCACGCACAAGGGCGCCGACGACCGCGCCUUCCGCUCCGUGUACCAGGAGGAGGACGAGCAGCGGAUCAAGGGCCUGUCCAUCAGCCGCGACCUGGUGGAGGUCGGCGGCCACGCGCUCAAGACCAACAUCACCACCCUCGGCCCGCUGGUGCUCCCCUUCUCGGAGCAGCUGCUCUUCUUCGCCGGCGUGCUGUUCCGCCACCUCUACCCGUCCAAGACGUCCACCCCGCCGCCGCCGGCCGCCAACGGGGACACCUCGGCCGCCGCGCCCUACAUCCCGGACUUCAAGCGCGCGUUCGAGCACUUCUGCAUGCACGCCGCCAGCCGCGACGUGCUGGAGCACCUGCAGCGCAACCUGGGCCUCCGCGACGCCGACCUGGAGGCCUCCCGCGCCGCGCUGCACCGCUUCGGCAACACCUCCAGCAGCAGCAUCUGGUACGAGCUGGCCUACCUGGAGGCCAAGGGCCGCGUCCGCCGCGGUGACCGCGUGUGGCAGCUCGCCUUCGGCUCCGGCUUCAAGUGCAACAGCGCCGUGUGGCGCGCCGUCCGCCGCGUGCGCCGCCCGUCCAGGAGCCCGUGGCUGGACUGCGUCGACCAGUACCCGGCGCGCAUGGACGCCUGAGUCCCGAUCGAGGGAGCGAAGCAGGCGCACGUGCUAAUAAUUAAGCGAGGUAAAGGAACACGUCCUGCGUCGUCGCACCCGCGUGGGUAAGUGCAGGCUAAUGGAAAUGAUGCUAUCGAUUUGCAUGUAACUGCAUGCAGUGCCGCUGGUUUAAGGUUUGAGCUUUGGUUAAUUUGUGCUGGUGUUGUAGCGGUUAUCUAUUAUUAUUAAGGGGUUUAAUCAUAGACUACGUACCAUAAUGCGCAAGUGUAUGUGCGCGCUCUUGUGAAACUUAUGUGAACUUGAUUAUCUACGUGCAAUUUCAUUACUUUGGACUUUGGACUACUGUUAUCUAUGUGCAACUUCAUAACUUUGGACUUUUUUAUAUAAGUUGGGUGUUUCUUAUAUGGAUGAAAUACUCCUAUGUAAAUCAUCUUCUUCCUCCGUCCCAUAAUGUAAGAACGUUUUACAUUAUGGAUGAAAGGAGUAUAUUGAAAUAUAAAGAAUGAGAGACUUGCUAGGCACAACCAAGCCAGCCACGUCGCCCUUGCCUCGCCAUGAAUAGUACGAGGGGGCAGCGCGGCGAGAGCGGGCAGCGGCAGGGAAAAAAGAGAGGAAAAUAUCUCCCUCCUCUUCCCCUCCCUCAUGGCCGCCUCGUCUCCUCCACGCCGCCGCCGCCGCCAUCGCCUCCCUCCUGGCCGCCUCAUCUCCUCCAUCUCCUCCUCCCUUGCCUGCACUGCUACUCCUCCACCCUCACUUCUUCCUCCUCCUCGCCUUCCCAUCGCUCCCGCGCAGGUCGCCAUGCGGCAGGGGUGGGAUCGGGCGAAAAACAGUGCCGCCACUCCUCUCCCCUCCAGCGUCGCUCAUCUCUGCCUCCUCCCGCGCGCCCUCCCCCUCGCCGCCGCCACGACCUCUCCCGCCGCUCAUAUCCACCUCCUCCCGCUUGCCCUUUCGCUUCCCUUGCCGCCGCCACGACCCAUAUCCUCUGAGCAUGACGCCUCCUCUUCCCACUCCUGCCCCGCCUUCGUCCUAGCGGACACCUCCUCCUCUCCUCUCCCUUGCCGCCUUCCCACCUCUCCUUGUCUCCUCGCGGCGGAAGGGAUAGACGCCGGCCCCCUCGCGGCGGCCACCUCUCUUCGUCUCCUCCCAGGUUCUCGAUCUGGAGUGGAAGGGAGCCUUGGCUCGUUCUUAUCUCUGUCAGGCAGGUGAGCUCCUACUUCCUCCCCCUGUCUCCCUUUGAUUUUGUGAUGGCGUUGUACUGUGUGUUUGUGUUGUUGCUUUGUCAGCUAUGGCUACUACUUGUGCUACUAGAUGUGUGUGCUGCUGGUUCACAAAACGGUGGGACACCAUUUCACCUCACACCUUCUCCCAUUCCAGAUCUGAAAGUAUUUUGAUUCAGUUUCCUCUAUAUGUUUUCCCAAUUGAAUCAGGUCUUGGUAUAACCAAGAGGGGAUUGAGGCACGUAAUGAGGUCAGCAGGCUUUGUUCUACAGUUUUCUGCUAGGUAGUAGAGCUCUAAAUUCUAUAUAACUCUUCGUGUUGACGAAUACAUCAUUCUGAAUUCUUCUCAUGGAAGUUCCAUAAAGGCCAUAAUUAUUCAAUUUAGCGUACUACUUCGGAUGUAAAAUUUGAUUGGCUGGCCAACCACACCAAAAGAUGAAUAUUAACAUGAAAUUUUGUAUAAGCAACUUUCCACAUUAUUUGGAUGCACUUUCUGCAGAUAAUAUUUCUGGAGACAAUAUUUAAUAAUCGAAACACAAUUGAAAGGAAUGUACGCCUGAAAUUCAGCAAAGCCCUGUUUAUGCUGACCAGUUAGAAACCAACUCCCUCAAAAUUCGCCCUGUACUAGAAAUAUAGUAUUCAUAGUCUUAUUUCUAUGUAAAAUUUUGUAGGACGGAUUAUGAAGCUGGAUUGCAGGACUUCCUUUGAACGUUUGACAAAUUAUGAAAAGGUCUCAAUGCUCAACAAGUUAUAUUAUGUUCAGUGAGUUGCAUGACGACAAUGUUAGAAUCCUUACCAUUUAAACUUCUGUAUGCAUGAACAGCUGAACACUCGAUACAAUAAUUUAGUCUUAUCCGGUUAACACUAAAGGAAAUAUGCCCUAGAGGCAAUAAUAAAAUUAUUAUUUAUAUUUCCUUAUAUCAUGAUAAAUGUUUAUUAUUCAUGCUAGAAUUGUAUUAACCGGAAACUUAGUACAUGUGUGAAUACAUAGACAAACAGAGUGUCCCUAGUAUGCCUCUACUUGACUAGCUUGUUUAUCAAAGAUGGUUAUGUUUCCUAGCCAUAGACAUGUGUUGUCAUUUGAUGAACGGGACCACAUCAUUAGAGAAUGAUGUGAUGGACAAGACCCAUCCGUUAGCUUAGCACUAUGAUCGUUUAGUUUAUUGCUAUUGCUUUCUUCAUGACUUAUACAUGUUCCUCUGACUAUGAGAUUAUGCAACUCCCGAAUACCGGAGGAACACUUAGUGUGCUAUCAAACGUCACAACAUAACUGGGUGAUUAUAAAGAUGCUCUAUAGGUGUCUCCGAUGGUGUUUGUUGAGUUGGCAUAGAUCGAGAUUAUGAUUUGUCACUCUGAUUGUCGGAGAGGUAUCUCUGGGCCCUCUCGGUAAUGCACAUCACAAUAAGCCUUGCAAGCAAUGUGACUAAUGAGUUAGUUGCGGGAUGAUGCAUUACGAAACGAGUAAAUAGACUUGCCGGUAACGAGAUUAAACUAGGUAUGUUGAUACCGACGAUCGAAUUUUGGGCAAGUAACAUACCGAUGACAAAGGGAACAACGUAUGUUGUUGUGCGGUUUGACCGUUAAAGAUCUUCAUAGAAUAUGUAGGACCCAAUAUGAGCAUCUAGGUUCCGCUAUUGGUUAUUGACCGGAGAGGUGUCUCGGUCAUGUCUACAUAGUUCUCGAACCCGUAGGGUCCGCACGCUUAAUGUUCGAUGACGAUUCGUAUUAUAAGUUUAUGUGAUUUGAUGUACCGAAGGUUGUUCGGAGUCCCAGAUGAGAUCACAGACGUAACGNNNNNNNNNNNNNNNNNNNNNNNNNNNNNNNNNNNNNNNNNNNNNNNNNNNNNNNNNNNNNNNNNNNNNNNNNNNNNNNNNNNNNNNNNNNNNNNNNNNNNNNNNNNNNNNNNNNNNNNNNNNNNNNNNNNNNNNNNNNNNNNNNNNNNNNNNNNNNNNNNNNNNNNNNNNNNNNNNNNNNNNNNNNNNNNNNNNNNNNNNNNNNNNNNNNNNNNNNNNNNNNNNNNNNNNNNNNNNNNNNNNNNNNNNNNNNNNNNNNNNNNNNNNNNNNNNNNNNNNNNNNNNNNNNNNNNNNNNNNNNNNNNNNNNNNNNNNNNNNNNNNNNNNNNNNNNNNNNNNNNNNNNNNNNNNNNNNNNNNNNNNNNNNNNNNNNNNNNNNNNNNNNNNNNNNNNNNNNNNNNNNNNNNNNNNNNNNNNNNCGGCCUCCUCCUCCCUCCCUCCUUUAUAUACGUGGGAGGGGGGCACCCCAUAGAUACACAAGUUGAUCUUUAGCUGUGUGCGGUGCCCCCCUCCACAGUUUUACACCUCGGUCAUAUCAUCGUAGUGCUUAGGCGAAGCCCUGCGCCGGUAACUUCAUCAUCGCCGUCACCAUGCCGUCAUGUUGACGAAAAAUCUCCCUCGGCCUCAACUGGAUCAAGAGUUCGAGGGACGUCACCGAGCUGAACGUGUGCAGAUCGCAAAGGUGUCGUGCGUUCGGUACUUGGAUCGGUUGGAUCACGAAGACGUUCGACUACAUCAACCGCGUUACUAAACGCUUCCGCUUUCGGUCUACGAGGGUACGUGGACACACUCUCCCUGCUCGUUGCUAUGCUUCUCCUAGGUAGAUCUUGCGUGAUCGUAGGAUUUUUUUUGAAAUGCUACGUUCCCCAACAAACAUAGUGUUAGUUAAGAACCCAUGAUAAGAACAAUUACUUUCUGUUGAAUUACUGGGCUAAAUAUGUUCCUUAUUUUGCAAUUACCAGGUUCAAAAGCUCAUGAAUGCUAAUUCAACCGAGGUUGAUUGGGAGCGUUCCUUCUAUUUGAAUUUAGUCGCUCAGACGUCAUAUACUGCCACGAUGGCGUUGUGCAGGUAUGUUUCUGUGGCACUUCUGCUGAGAUCUUACAAGCUUUGUAUGCUCUGGACAAUUAGCUAUAACUGCAUAAGAACAACUAGAAACCUUUUCGGGUGAUCUAUUGAGGUGUCACGCUUGUGUGCGAAACACUAGAGUAGAGAAAUAUAUCCAGGAGGCACCAUUGUAUAGAAGAGGCAUAAUAACGGUGGCGCAGAGUGCGUGUUUGUUCAGCGUGGAUGUGGCCGUGUGAUAAGCUAUAGGUUGUUGAAAGAGCUAGUGAUCGACUAGAGGGGGGUGAAUAGGCGAUUUUUAUGAAAGUCUUCAAAACAUGGGAGUUUCGAAGACAAACAAUAAAAAUGAACCUAUUGACAUGCAGCGGAAGGUAGACUACACUAGGAAAGCCAUAGUCUAGUAUUCAAUGAAGUGAAAGCACGAAGACUAUUAGCAGCUAGGCAGUAUGGAUCAGGAUGGAAGAUAGUAUGAAGCCAAUCAGAACAAGUGGUCACGUAGUGAAGUCAAACAGAUAAAGCAAGCAGACAAUGACUUCACGAAGACAAACUGUAAGUAAAGAGAAAGAAGAGAUAGAACCAGUAGCUUGGAGAGGACAGUGAUUUGUUGGACCAGUUCCAGUUGCUGUGACAACUAUACGUCUGGUUAGGGAGGCUGAGAUUUAACUCAGAAGACCGCGUCUUCACCUUAUUCCCCUUGAGCCAAGGACACUUAGUCCUCACCCAAUCGCUCUGGUAAGUCUUCAAGGUAGACUUCCAAACCUUCACAGACUUCUAUCACCGGCAAUCCACAAUGACUCUUGGAUGCUCAGAACGCGACGCCUAACCGCCUGGAGGAUUCAUAGUCCUCCAGUGUAACAAGUCUUCAGAUCACGCGGACAGAAAGACUUCAGUGAUGCCAAAUACUCUUUGGGCUCUGGGUGUUUUGGGCUUUGUCCUCGCAAGGAUCUCUCUCUCAAAUGCUUCGGAGGUGGGUUGCUCUCAAACGACAAAAGUCGUGCACUAACUCUGAGCAGCCACCAAUUUAUGUGUAAGGGGUGGGCUAUUUAUAGCCAGGAGGCAACCCGACCUAAUUUGUCCGAAAUGACCCUGGGUCACUAAGGAACUGACACGUGUUCCAACGGUCAGAUUUCAAACACACGCGGCAGCUUAACUUGGGCUACAAGUAAAGCUGACUCAUCCAGCUCUGGAUAAGAUUUGCUCUCAUUGUCUUCGCUCGAAGACAUAGGAUUUAGUUGAGCAUCACUUCAGUCACUCUGACUUUGUUCACUUGGACCCCACUUAAUAGUACGGUGGUUCCUAUGACUCAACAAAGAAGAAAAGGAAACUACGAAACAACUAUGUCUUCACGCUCCAAAGUCUUCAUGCGAUGUCUUCUCAUGUCAUAGUCUUCCAUGUGAAUAUCUUCACAGACCACCAUUGUCUUCAAUGUCUUCACACAUUUUUAGGGGUCAUCUCCGGUAGGUAAACCGAAUCAAUGAGGGACUACUACCUGUGUUAUCCUGCAAUUCUCACAAACACAUUAGUCCCUCAGCCAGGUUUGUCGUCAAUACUCCAAAACCAACUAGGGGUGGCACUAGAUGCACUUACAAUCUCCCCCUUUUUGGUGAUUGAUGACAAACUGGUUGAAGUUUUCAACGGGGAUAAAAGUAUGUGAAAUAGUAAGGAUUGAGAUAUUGUCUUCAUAAGUAGCAAAAAGGCUCCCCCUGAAGAUGUGCAUAUAAGUAUUUUGCUCUGGAAUGCAAAUGCACAUGGCAGGUUGUACUUGUGGAGAUCCUCUUCAAUUUGAGGUAGAAGCAUAGAAGAGGUUAGGGUCCGAUCACAUUCACUUAGAUCAAAAGAUUCAAGCAAGAAGACAUAGCUAUAAGUGAAUGCUGUAGAGGACAGAACACAGUAUAUGUAUAUAUCUGAGUAAGACCAAAUCAACAUCGUGAAGAUAAUCAUGAAAUCAAAUCAAAGUUGAAGACAAAUCAAAUGCAAAGACUUUGCAAUUGUAACGCCAAGAUAAACACUUCAAACAAAAGUUUGGUGGUGGCAUUACCCACCGUAUAGGAAGUAUUAGACCCAGACAUGGCGCACAAUUAUCGCGGCGCUUCGAAGUCAAAUUCCGCAUUAAUGUAUUCACACUCAGAGUGUAAGUCUUCAUGGAUUGAAGAUAUACGUUACUUUGUGUGUUGCACAUCUAAGUCAUCAAUAUGCAUAAAUGUUAGGAUGUGUGUCGAAUCAUAGGACAUUUGAGGAUUCCAAGAUAUUUAGCUCACACCUCAACUUGCAAAACCUUUUCUCAUCCAAGGGCUUUGUGAAGAUAUCUGCCAAUUGCUCUUCAGUGUUGACGUGAAUGAUAUCAAUAUCUUCCUUCAUGACAUGAUCUCUGAGAAAGUGAUGACGAAUUUCAAUGUGCUUUGUCUUCGAGUGUUGAACUGGGUUGUUGGCAAUCUUGAUGGCGCUUUCAUUGUCGCAGUAGAGUGGCUGUGGCACCCCGGCUCAGAGCGACCGGUUUACCAUGCAUUGCCAGCACAGAGACCCUGUCUUCUGGCAACACACAACAUCUUGGUACAGAAAACAACCGCUUUAUUGAAGCUAGCGGAUCAAAGUUUAUAUUACAACAGGUGUCGAGGCCAAGCGGCACACACGGUGCGGCUGAACAAUAUGUACAUUAUUUAGUGAACAUAAAGGGGCCUCGAUCACAAUAACUACGCGACAGUGGAACAACGUCGUAGCGGAAACUCCAUAGCACAGGGACACCGAUGUGGACACGAUCUAGACUCGAACAGCACUCCUUUCCAAUGGAACUUCCCUGAAAUCUGGCAUGCAAGCCAGGUCAGUACAUUGAAUGUACUUGCAAGCUCACAACAAGCAUAAACAUAAUGACAAACAAUAUCAUGAUAAUUAACCAAUUAUUAGUAAUGCAACAAUGUAACCAACAUGCUGUGAUCACGCUCUUAUGGGAACAGUCCCUCGGACUAGCUUACCAACGGUGGUCGCUUCUGGGUCACAAACGUACCAACCACAUGAUCUCAGCUAUGGAUACCUCGUGAUCAUUCCGGCGAUCACAACCACGACCAAUAUUUGGUCUCAAACAGUGAUCCUUCCGGCGAUCACAACCACGACCAAUAUUUGGUCUCAAACAGUGAUCCUUCCGGCGAUCACAACCACGACCAACACUUGGUCUAAACCAACAGGAUGACCUUCCCGCCAUCCUAAUCAGUGCAAAGUUCAUGACUUAGUGUGCAAGAUUAAUUAAAUGUUGACCCAUGGUGUGACCUACUUUCGAGGUGUCCGUAACCGUGGACUCGGCUAUCGAUAGAUUAAUACACUCUGCAGAGGUAGCGCACUGUACCCACACCACGGAACCCAUGGCCUCGUACUCCCAUUCGGGUGGACCAACGGCAUUCCGACGAAACCCCUCCAUUGCCAUGACACUCUCUCGGCCACUCCGACCCACUCCCAACUGGGCUAGUCCUUGGUGGCCCCGUGUCUACCAAAGACACAACGACCACCGUCGUGGCCAAAACAUAAACGUCCCUCACGGGGACCGGUACGAAAAUCUCAACAACGGGCACACAAGGUUAUGUCUCCUUACCGGGCCAGGGUACCGCACGCCCAUAACCAUCCCUCGUUGGAGGCACCGACCAGAGGCAUGACAACGGACCGAAUAAAGGCCUUCUCAUAAAGGCAAAUGUGGUUGCACUAGGAAAACUCGAUUCAGUGGCACCAUGACCCGGUCAACGAUGUAUUCAAGUUGUGUUAUUAUCAGGUUCAACUUAAAUUGAAAAUAACCGGUGUCAUAGCAUGCCAUGAAAUGCAACACUAACAUAUGCAUCACAUAUUAACGGAAAUGACCGAGUCAACUAACUCCACACUAACCAUAAACAUCAACAACUCCUCAUACUUUUCUGGUUAGGAUUAAACCUCACAUUAAACAUAAUCUUUUCUAACAAAUUUUAUCAUUUUUCUCAUGCAAGAAAAUAACUCCAAUUAAUUACUUAUAUCUAUAACCAUAUUAUUUCUAUUAUAGCAAGAUUUUAUUCUAGUUUCUUUACCAACUAAGUUAGCUACAAACUUUCUGUAAAUCAAGCAUAUUAACUUAAACAAGCACUUAACAGAAUAUAAAUAACAUAAUAGUUAGUUAUAUGCAUGGAUUAAAUCAUUCAUUCAAGUGGAAAAAUAAAAAAUAUUGCAGUGGCAUCAUGAAAAUGUUGCUGUGGCUUGCCUUAGUGCAGAUGAGGUUCACAAGCCUUCCGGUGAUCCUCAAGACAAGCUUCACUCUCUGAAAAUAAUUUUAAACACAAGAAGAAAAUAUCAAGAACCCUUCUGAAAUUCACCAGAAAAUCUAGACAGCAUAGAAAAAUCUCAUUUUUGGUGAGCUGCUAGAUUUCUUUGCAAAGAACACAAAGCAAAAAGAAUCAAUUCAUUUGGACUUAUGGUUGAAGAGUUAUAGCUGUUUGAAGCUCUCUGGAAAAUAUAUGAAUUUGAAUUUAAAUAAAACAGACNNNNNNNNNNNNNNNNNNNNNNNNNNNNNNNNNNNNNNNNNNNNNNNNNNNNNNNNNNNNNNNNNNNNNNNNNNNNNNNNNNNNNNNNNNNNNNNNNNNNNNNNNNNNNNNNNNNNNNNNNNNNNNNNNNNNNNNNNNNNNNNNNNNNNNNNNNNNNNNNNNNNNNNNNNNNNNNNNNNNNNNNNNNNNNNNNNNGGGGGGGGGGGUGACGUCGAAGGCGUAAAGCCUCGGGGCGCCACCACUCGUACCGCUCCGCGCGCGCACUGAGUGGCUGACUAGCGGGCCCCGCUAGCCAGGUGAGGUGGAGGGGGAGAAGGAAACAGAGAGUGGCGCGGCUUCGCCGGAGCUCACGCCGGCGGCGAGGGCUCCUUGGCCAAAACGAGAGGGAGGGAUCGAGAGAGGAGACGGAGGCGCACCUGCCCGUACCCGUAGAGUAGUUAGGGGUGGUCGGACGACGUCGGAAUCGUCCUCUCUAGCGCAGACAGGAAGCAGAGCUCGCCGGAGACGAAGACGACGGCGAGCAGAAGCGACUCCAGGGGCUCCAACUGGGCGGAACGGCACCACCGCAGUGUGGCGGGGGCUCUGGAAGGGUCGCCCAGGCCUGGGAGGGGCUGGAGCUACCGCGACGACCCGAGGGGAUCGCCGGCGAGGUCGAGCUCGGGGACGGCGGCCCGUGGCCUGCCCGGCCGGGCUACGGCUAUCCACAAGUUUGUGGANNNNNNNNNNNNNNNNNNNNNNNNNNNNNNNNNNNNNNNNNNNNNNNNNNNNNNNNNNNNNNNNNNNNNNNNNNNNNNNNNNNNNNNNNNNNNNNNNNNNNNNNNNNNNNNNNNNNNNNNNNNNNNNNNNNNNNNNNNNNNNNNNNNNNNNNNNNNNNNNNNNNNNNNNNNNNNNNNNNNNNNNNNNNNNNNNNNNNNNNNNNNNNNNNNNNNNNNNNNNNNNNNNNNNNNNNNNNNNNNNNNNNNNNNNNNNNNNNNNNNNNNNNNNNNNNNNNNNNNNNNNNNNNNNNNNNNNNNNNNNNNNNNNNNNNNNNNNNNNNNNNNNNNNNNNNNNNNNNNNNNNNNNNNNNNNNNNNNNNNNNNNNNNNNNNNNNNNNNNNNNNNNNNNNNNNNNNNNNNNNNNNNNNNNNNNNNNNNNNNNNNNNNNNNNNNNNNNNNNNNNNNNNNNNNNNNNNNNNNNNNNNNNNNNNNNNNNNNNNNNNNNNNNNNNNNNNNNNNNNNNNNNNNNNNNNNNNNNNNNNNNNNNNNNNNNNNNGAGAGGAAGGCGACGAGUACAGUGCAGAGCGCACUGUUGCGUUGGCCGGACCGCGCCCGUGCUCGCUGCGGCGAGCUCCGGCUUCGGCGAGUGCCAGGGGAGAGUUAAGGGGGUUUGGACGAAGAUGGUGGCGAGGUUUGGCACGCUUUGGCAGUCGGGGAAGCGAGCACGCGCGAAACAGAGCGCUCGUCGGCACUCAGAGCGCGUCGACACGCAGGCUGCCAUCGUGUACACGCGUGGUCACCGCGUGAACUUUGCCCCCAGGCCGACCUAUGUCCAAAGUUCAUGUCUGGCUUGUUGUUCGUGGUAGUUGUGAAGAUUACCACGCUUUGGUUUGGAUCCAGACGCAGUAGAAAAGAUUUCACAAGCCAAGUAAGUUUCUGAUCAGAAACUUUGAGAUGUUACCGAGGUCAAAUGGCUGGGAGUUAGGAGCUGGGUUUUGGAGGCUAGCAAUCAUCUACUAAGGUGAUGAUGCACAAGAAAAAUCAGCCUGAUUGGAGCAAGUAAAAUGGUAGUUGCUGUAGAAACCACCAUUUCUGUCCAGAACAGAAAAUAUUUUCUAUAGCAAAAAUAUUCCAAAAAGUCUUGCAAUAUUUUUGCUUAGCAGGAAGGUGCCCUAGGGUUCAAAGAAUAUUUGUGAAUUUUGUCAGAUUUUUGUGGGCAAGAAAAAUUGGGGUUGCUUUGGAGCACAUUGAGCUAGCUAGGGUUUUGGAGAGGGAAAUGAUAUUUUUCAUUUAAGAAAAAUAUUCCAAAUAUUAUUUUGAGGUGAACCAGAGAGAGAAUGAUGAUUAGAGAGUGAAAUGAGGCACUUGGGUGAAAGCCAAGGGGUACCCAAGUGUUUAAGUCCAUAUGAAAAGAUUCAAAAACUCAAAAUUUCAAAACCAAUCCAAAUGAAAAUCAGGCAAAUAAAGGAGGGCAAAAACCAGGCUGUCACAAACCUCCCCCACUUAGAAUGAAUUUCGUCCUCGAGAUUCGGUUGCUUGGGAAAACCAUUCGGGACAAUGUGCCCUUAGAAAUUCUUCUCGUUCCCAAGUUGAUUCUGACUCGGUGUGAUGCUCCCACUGGACUUUGUAGAACUUCCUCACUUUACUGCGAGUGACCCUUUCCAUCUGAUCCAAAAUUUUAACCGGUCUCUCUUCAUAUGUUAAAUCCCUUGCCAACUCUAUCUCGGCCAUAGCAGUCCUUUUCUCAGGCGGCGAUAUGCAUCGCCUUAACUGUGAAACAUGAAACACGUUGUGCACGUCUGACAAUUCUGGGGGUAGUUCCAACUGAUAUGCAACAGUACACACUCGGGACAUCACUGGAAAUGGACCAAUAAAUCUGGGUGCCAACUUUCCACGAGUCUGGAACCUCUUGACUCCUUUCAUAGGAGUGACUCGGAGGUAUACAUGUUCUCCGGGUUCAAAACUGAUCCGUCGGUGCUUUGCAUCAUAAUAACUCUUUUGUCGAGAUUUGGCCAAUUGCAAUCUGUCUCUGAUUUCCCUAACUUGUUUCUCAGCUUCUAUCAUGAGAUUUGUUCCGAAAAUGCGGCUAUCUCCAGUUUGAGACCAAUUUAAAGGAGUGCGGUGAUGAGGACAUAGACCUGGGGUAGGGUAAUAGGCCUGACCUAUACCUCCUACCUUAGGUCCUUGUCCUAGAAGCAAAGAGGUUCAAGAGUAAACAGAGGGGACCCAACAAAGGUGUCGAGUGUAAUCCACUCGACCUACCAUUCACUCGAAGACCCCCCUUUGUUUCUGUCACUCGACCACUAAACCACUCGACGUGCAGAAGACCUAAAGACACUCCGCGCAGCAAUGGUCGGGCAUUUACCCUUAGACUUAAUAGUCAUUUAUAUUACUUUACUACAGACGUUACCUGUAAUGCUCCUGCUUUAUGAACAUUGAACUCCUUGUAACGUGGGCUGGCCGGGGUCCUGGCACACUCUAUAUAAGCCACCCCCUCCACUGGCACAAGGGUUCGCACCCCCUGUAACACACACGCAUAUAAUCCAGUCGACCGCCUCCGGGCUCCGAGACGUAGGGCUGUUACUUCCUCCGAGAAGGGCCUGAACUCGUAAAACUCGUGCGUACAGCUUCUCCAUAGCUAGGACCUUGCCUUUACAUCCCUACCCCCCAUUCUACUAUCAGACUUAGAACCACGACAGUUGGCGCCCACCGUGGGGCAGGUGUUUUAGCGACUUGUUGGAGAAGUUGCAAUUUUUCCGAUCCCCAUCAGCAUGGUUUCAGGUGGAGGAUUGACCGAGGGCCGCGAGAUCCGUCUCGGCGCGCUCGUGUUCGUCGCAGACGGCUCCGCUUGGCUCCAAGUGGCUCCACUCGACGUCGAGGUGCUCCCCGUCUGCGGGGCAACGCACUUUCGCACGUGCGUCCGCGGCGUCCUCCUGCGGCAGCCGUCGACCCAGUAUCGGUCGGCUCCUGUGGCAUUUUCACUCCCUGCAGCCCGCCGACACAAGCGUUCCGGUCGGUCGAGACUCCAGUCGGCCACCCCUCAAGUCGCGGCAAUCGAGCCCGACGAAACUCUCUACGGCCUGUUCGACUGGCUCCGUUGAGACCGCAUCCGAGUGCGACAGCAGUGACCCUGCGGCGGAAGUCCUGAUGGUCAACGAACCGCGCAGUCCUCCUGGCUUCCCCCGCGUCGACGGUGGUGAUGGCGGAGGCGAUCCGUCGCGUGCCCAUGAGGAGUACCGCCCCGAGCCCCUCUCUUCGCAGCAGAGGGAAGAGCUUCGCCGCCGUAACAUGGAUGCACUUCACACUCCUAUCGUUGGAGAAACCCCCGAGGCCCGGGCCUUGGAGGAGGUGCGCCUGGCCAACUUGGCGGAGCGCACUCGACUGGAGAAUCUCCAGCACGCACUCGACGAGCGUGCUCGGCAGUGAGUUCCUGAAUCCAGUCGACGUCAACUCUUUCCGCCUCCAACCCAGGUAUAUCGAACUCCGAUCCAGAAUCUCACAGCUGCUGCCCGAAUAGCAGAGUCGAUUCAGCCUUCCCAGUCGGAGGCUGGUAGGGGUUUGAUGCAGAUCCGGGCUUUGCUCCAGGCGGCGGGGGAGCAGAACACAGCUGUGUCACAGUCUCGGAAUAGGAUUCAUAGUAGGUCUGUGAUGGCAGAUACAGUUCAGUCGGCUCACAGCCCGAGAUCGCCUCCAAGACGUGAGGGACGUGGAGAUCGACAGGAUCAGUAUAGGAACCGUGAGCAGUACGAUCGUCGUCGAGUACCCACGCCUCCCCCAAGGAGUGGGUCAUACGCGGCUUGGCAACACGAUGACAGACGCCCUCACAGUGGUGGGCAAAGGAUUCCAGUCGACCCCCGGGAGCCGGGCUUUGACGCGAGAUCCAUUCUCGUUCAAGGUCUAGUUGACAGGAACAGAGCACACAGAGAUGGCCACGAUAGAGAUUACCCGACCGGCAGCAGGGUGCAUGUUUCAGGUCCCGAGUGUUUCAGCAGAGCCAUCAGAGCAGCAGUGAUUCCUCCCAACUUCAGGUUGGCGACUGGAGUCAGCAAGUUCACUGGUGAAUCCAAGCCUGACACUUGGCUUGAAGACUACCGAGUGGCUGUGCAGAUUGGUGGUGGUAAUGAUGAAGUGGCCAUGAAGCACCUUCCUCUGAUGUUAGAGGGCUCGGCCAGAGCGUGGUUGAAUCAGCUAGCACCUAGCAGUAUUUAUAGCUGGGAAGAGCUUGCCCGAGUAUUUGUCAAAACAUUUGAAGGUACAUGCAAACGGCCAGCAGGGCUGACAGAGCUACAGUCUUGUGUGCAUAAGUCGAAUGAAACUUUGAGAGAUUAUAUCCAGAGAUGGAUCACGUUGCACCACACGGUGGAGAAUGUGUCUGAUCACCAAGCAGUUUGUGCCUUCAAGGAAGGCGUCAAGUAUCGGGAAUUGAAUAUGAAAUUCGGUCGGACCGGAGAUAUGUCUCUGAGUCGAAUGAUGGAAAUUGCCACCAAGUAUGCUAAUGGUGAAGAGGAGGAUCGACUCCGGAGUGGCAAGCACAAAACAGUCGCCCACGAAACCGGGGGAGGGAACUCCAGUCGGAAGCAGAAGCGCAAAGCCGAGCCAGCUGCUCCCGGAGAAGCCUUAGCCGUGACUCAAGGAAAGUUCAAGGGGAAGCCCAAAGGGCCAUGGAACCCCAAGAAGGUAAAAGAUCAAGAUGGAAAUGAUGUGUUGGAUUUACCGUGCCACAUUCACAUCAAAAAAGAUGAGGAGGGUAAUCUCAUUUACCCGAAGCCCAAAGAGAAGGAGAAAGAAUCAGACAAGGUUGAGGAUAAGGAAGAGGACGAUGAUGGUUACCCCCACGUCAAUUCAACUCUGAUGAUUUUUGCUGAUGUUGAGAGCAAAAGUCGACUGAAAGUCAUCAAUAGAGAAGUGAACAUGGUCACCCCAGCGACGCCCAGUUAUUUGAAGUGGUCUCGGACUGCCAUUACAUUCGACCAGUCUGAUCACCCAACACACAUAGCCACCCCUGGGAGGCAAGCGUUGGUGGUCGACCUAGUUGUCGAAGGCACUCGGUUGACUAAGGUUCUGAUGGAUGGUGGCAGCGGCCUGAAUAUACUGUAUGCAGAGACCUUGAAGGGAAUGGGCAUUCCGAUGUCCAGACUCAGUGAAAGCCAUAUGAGUUUCCAUGGAGUUAUUCCUGGCAAGAAGGCUGAAUCACUCGGCCAGAUCGCCCUCGAUGUGAUUUUCGGUGAUUCCAAGAAUUACCGCAAAGAAAAGUUGACGUUUGAAGUCGUCGAUUUCCAGAGUGCUUAUCCUGCUAUCCUGGGCAGGCCGGCUUAUGCACGUUUUAUGGCUCGACCAUGCUACGUGUACCUCAAAUUGAAGAUGCCUGGUCCCAAAGGAGUGAUCACUAUCACUGGCAAUCGGAAGAAGGCAGAAGAGUGCUUCCAGAAGGGCUCAAAGAUCGCCGAUGCACAAAUGGAAGUAGUGGAAUUGCAAGAGUAUCAGAAGAACGCAUAUCCGAGUGAUUUGUUGCGAGCAAAGAAGCCUGCCACGGAUUCAGCAUUUCAGUCAUCUGGUGAAACGAAGCCGAUUCAUAUUCACCCGACCGAUCUCAAUGCUGCUCCAACUCACAUUCGACAACGCUCGACUCCAAAUAGGAAGAAGCGCUCAUCCAGUUCCUCCGUGAGAACUGGGACAUCUUUGCAUGGAAAACUUCUGACAUGCUGGGUGUUCCCAGGGGGCUGGCUGAGCACCGUUUGUGAGUUAACCCAAAAGUGAAACCAGUCAAAGAACAUCUUCGACGGUCCGCCGUACAGAAGAGAAAAGCGAUCGGUGAAGAAGUAGCUCGGCUCCUAGCAGCUGAGUUUAUCCGAGAGAUUUACCACUCCGAGUGGCUAGCCAAUGUUGUCAUGGUCCCCAAGAAGGAUGACUCACUUCGCAUGUGCAUUGACUUCAAGCAUAUCAAUCGGGCCUGCCCGAAAGAUCACUUUCCUCUACCCCGCAUCGAUCAAAUAGUCGACUCGACUGCCGGGUGUGAGCGCUUGUCCUUUUUGGACGCUUAUUCCGGGUAUCAUCAGAUCCGACUGUAUGGACCCGAUGAGAUAAAAACAGCUUUCAUCACUCCAUUUGGGUGCUUCUGUUAUGUCACCAUGCCAUUCGGCCUAAAGAAUGCUGGAGCUACAUUCAUGAGGAUGAUUCAGAAGUGUUUACUCACUCAAAUCAGUCGGAAUGUGGAAGCAUACAUGGAUGACAUUGUGGUCAAGUCACGUAAAGGUUCGGACCUGCUGGCUGACCUUGCUGAAACUUUUGCCAACCUCAGAAGGUAUGAUAUCAAGCUUAAUCCAUCAAAGUGCACAUUCGGAGUUUCGGGCGGAAAAUUACUCGGUUUUCUUGUUUCCGAACGAGGGAUCGACGCUAACCCAAAGAAAGUUGGUGCCAUUCUCCGAAUGAAACGCCCUGUGCGUGUGCACGAUGUUCAGAAGCUUACAGGUUGUUUGGCCGCCUUAAGUCGAUUCAUUUCUCGCCUUGGUGAAAAGGCAUUGCCUCUUUACCGACUGAUGAAGAAGUCUGAUAAGUUCGAGUGGACUCCUGAAGAUGAUGCAGCAUUUGCAGAGCUCAAAGCCCUGCUUUCCACCCAGCUGGUGCUUGCUGCCCCAAUCAGCAAAGAGCCUUUACUACUUUACAUUGCAGCCACUAGACAAGUCGUCAGUACAGUACUUACGGUCGAGCGGGAAGAAGAAGGAAAAGCCUAUAAAGUUCAGCGCCCAGUAUAUUAUGUUUCUGAAGUUUUGACUCCAUCAAAGCAAAGAUAUCCACAUUAUCAGAGGCUUGUUUAUGGGAUUUAUAUGACCACGAAGAAGGUUGCACAUUAUUUCUCUGACCACUCCAUUACAGUCGUCAGCGACGCUCCAUUAUCAGAGAUUCUGAACAACAGAGAUGCAACUGGUCGAGUGGCAAAGUGGGCGAUUGAACUUCUUCCCUUGGAUAUCAAGUUUGAGGCAAAGAAAGCUAUCAAGUCCCAAGCAAUAGCAGAUUUCCUCGCCGAGUGGAUCGAGCAGCAACUGCCGACUCAAGUCCACUCGGAGCACUGGACCAUGUUCUUUGAUGGUUCCAAGAUGCUGAAUGGUUCCGGUGCUGGGGUGGUACUGGUAUCCCCCCGAGGAGACAAGCUCAGAUAUGUUCUCCAGAUUCACUUUGAUUCCUCAAUUAACGAAGCGAAAUAUGAAGCACUUUUAUAUGGGUUACGUAUGGCCAUCUCACUCGGCGUCCAUCGCCUCAUGGUCUACGGCGACUCAGAUUUGGUAGUCAAUCAAGUGAUGAAGGAGUGGGACGUCAGAAGCCCAGCUAAAUGGUUGUUGUUACUUUUGUUUACGUCUGAAAUCCCCCAGUGGGUGACUUUGCCGCGAAUCCGUUUCGCCUAAGUUUGAAAAAUCCUACCGAGUGGUGAGCAAGCCUCUCACUCGGGGACUUAGCCGCAAAUCCGUUUCGCCUAAGUUUGUAAAAUCCUACCGAGUGGAGAGCAACCCUCCCACUCGGGGGCUUAGCUGCAGUCCAGUACUCACCUAAGUUUGAAAAAUCCCACCGAGUGAUGAGCAAGCCUCUCACUCGGGGGCUUAGCUGCAGUCCAGUACUCGCCUAAGUUCGAAAAAUCCCACCGAGUGAUGAGCAAGCCUCUCACUCGGGGGCUUAGCUGCAGUCCAAUACUCGCCUAAGUUUGAAAAAUCCCACCGAGUGAUGAGCAAGCCUCUCACUCGGGGGCUUAGCUGCAGUCCAGUACUCGCCUAAGUUUGAAAAAUCCCAUCGAGUGAUGAGCAAGCCUCUCACUCGUGGGCUUAGCUGCAGUCCAGUACUCGCCUAAGUUGGAAAAAUCCCACCGAGUGAUGAGCAAGCCUCUCACUCGGGGGCUUAGCUGCAGUCCAGUACUCGCCUAAGUUUGAAAAAUCCUACCGAGUGGUGAGCAACCCUCCCACUCGGGGGCUUAGCUGCAGUCCAGUACUCGCCUAAGUUUGUAAAACCCUACCGAGUGGUGAGCAAUCCUCCCUUUCGGGGGCUUAGCUGCAGUCUAGUACUCGCCUAAGUUCGAAGUCCAUCCCUAUCCACAAGGACGACGAGGUGCAGGUCGACGAGAACCUUCUCCUUCGGAGCUGCGCCACAAGUACAAUGUGCGCUCCAUCCCUAUCCGCAAGGACGACGAGGUGCAGGUCGACUGCAACCUUCUCCUUCGGAGCUGCGCCACAAGUACAACGUGUGCUCCUGCCCUAUCCGCAAGGACGACGAGGUACAGGUCGACUGUAACCUUCUCCUUCAGAGCUGCGCCACAAGUACAACGUACGCUCCAUCCACUACAAAAAAAUACACUUCCGUGAUGAUACAUGUUUGUCACAGUAGGUCGCGUUUUCUAUCAUGCAUGUACAUCCAUGACAAAUUUAUGACAGAAUCAAGAUAGUCAUACCUGUGCUGUCGUAGAAGUGUUCCAUGACAUUGCCAAAAUUAUCAUCACGGAAGUGUCCACUUCCAUGACGAUAAAUCGCGCGUCACAGAAGUGCUUUUGUCAAGGGUGACCGACACGUGGCAUCCACCGUAACGGAACGCCGUUAAGCUAUCGGGUCGGAUUUUGGAUCCGAUAACCCGUUAACAGCCACGACCAAUGCCGAUUUUCCACGUGUAAAAUUCUCAUUGACUGACGGAUCCACGCGUCAGCUCCGCGUUGGCACAGGUGUCACUCAUCCAACAGUCGAGAUGGGCCUAUGAUAUGUUGACACGUGGACCGGCCCAAAAGUGGCCCAUAAUGUUUAAAUGGGCCGGCCCAACCGAAGGCCCAUAAGAUUUAGCGGACCAUAAUGGGCCGGCCCAGCUAAAGGCCCACAAAAUUUAGCGGACCAUAAUGGGCCGGCCCAGCUAAAGGCCCACACGAUUUUGCAGACCAUAAUGGGCCGGCCCAACUAAAGGCCAAGAAGAUUUUGCGGACCACAAUGGGCCGGCCCAGCUAAAGGCCCGCAAGAUUCUGCAGACCAUAAUGGGCCGACCCAGCUAAAGGCCCAACAUUCUCUGUCAAAUCGGCCCGUCAACGACCUGUCCUAAACUUGUCAUCAACGCAGCCCAUGGUCACUUCUGGCCCGUUAACAGUCCGCUAAGUAAUUGGGCCGAAUUAUGGCCGGGUGUAUUUCUGGCCUGUUAAAGGUCCGGCUUCAUUUGGGCCCAUUUACAGGCCAUAUCUGACAUUCGGCCUGUUAGAGGCCCACUAUAGCUUUGGGCCACUUUCGGCCUGUUGUCAUUUUUGACCUGUUAACGCCGGACGUAAACCAUGGGCCAUAUGUGGCCCAACGUCAUAUCGGGCCCAUUAACGGCCCAUAUAAAAAUGACGAUAAUCUAGCCCGACCGAAGUUCCGGCCUAUUAAAGGCCCGUGUAUUAGGUCGGCGCAUUUACGGCCCGUCCGAAUUUCGGCCUGUCAAAGAUCCGCAUCGUAAAUGGGCCACCAUUUCGGCCUGCUAAGUCCAGUGGGUUAUUUGGCACAAUCAGGGCCCAAUCUCACUUUCGGUCUAUUAAAGGCCCAUGUUUUUUAUGGGCUCGAGAUAUUUACACCUGUAAACGGCCUAUUUUUACUGAGGGCCCAAAUUAUGUUUAGGCCUGUUAAAGGCCCACUAUGGGCACAGGCCUACCAGAAAAAUAUGAAAGCUUAUGCUGAUUUAGGCCCGGAUAUUUUUAGUGGGCUACAUGCCAAUUUCGGCCCGUAAUUGUUUUUAGCCCAAUUGGAAUGGGCCCGACGAAUGUUGGCAUGUUGGGCUCCUACGAAGCUUUCGGCCGAAUACAUUACUAAGAUAAACCUGCACUAUACAAAAAUAGCGUCGUAAUUACUGCAGCCUGAGGCAGCAUCAUAAAUGUUGUAUCACAACAAAAUAAAUUCCAACCAUACAACAAAAGGCCUGUUGGCAUAAAGUUUACAGUCCUUCCAGAUAAAAGCACCAUCAGAUGUAUAGAAGCACAGAUCAUUUGACCCGAGUGCUAAUGUUUCAGGCUGUAGAAUCUGAUGGAGCAGCAUGAUCUCCACCUUUUUUCCGCCAUUGCUCUUGAACAACAAAGCGAAUGUCUGAUAGUCUGGUUUCAAAACCAUUCAUAUCUUGACGACAUUUCUCAACCACUAUUCUUGUUUCCGAAACAACGUCCAUUAGGGAUUGGACUUGUGUCUGGAGCACAGAUAUAUCACUCUGUCUAGCAGGAAGAUUUUGUUCAGUAGGCGAUUUGGACGAGGUUACCUUGACAACCAACCCAGAAUUACGCAGGAAGGUGCUUUUUGCACUGUUAGUGGAGAGAUACUGACGCACUGCCACAAGAGGUGACAUUCUGCCUAUAGUAGCCUCGUCACCUUCAGGUGGUUGUGGCUGUUCAAUCAUUUGUUCCAUAGCUUCCUGAAAGUUUGAACUUGUAGAUUAGUGUACCAGAUAUGUUACUAAUGAGACAAAAACAAACAAAGUAGGUUAAACGUUUAUACAUAACUUAUUUUGGUGAACUACUGUAAUACAUUAGCAUGUAUUGUAGUGCCAACUACAUAAUAAAAUCACUUUCGGAACAUAUGUCCAUGUAGCAUGCCUACCGUAUUGUCUAUUUCCUCACAUUCGUUGACAUCUAAGGAUAAAGAGACAUGGUUUAAAGUAGGACGAACAUAGUAUGACAUCAUUCAUAUCAUGGGCAAACAGAUAUAAAACAAACAGGCUAUUUUAUCAUUGUGUGCGCAUGUGAACAUAACAACUAGAUUACAUAUAAAGACCAAAAGAAUAUCCUUCAUCUCUUUUAAACCAUGUAAGGUGAAAUGAUACGUUAAGACAACUGUGAAUAAAAGUGAACAGAGUAACUGACAUUGGCUGCAAACCAAGUAGUUAAAUGAACACAUCACAGUACCAAUCAGUUCAAGGCAGGAGGAGUAAGGACUUACAACAGCGGCUUGAACUGGUGUGCUCAUGCCCUUCAUCUUACUGGUGUGGCAAUCCUUGAAGAUUUGCACCGCAUUCGGUUCAGGUUCUUUUUGGUCCGCACGGGCUUUCCUCUGUAUUUGGAACAAGUCAAUAGAUACGAUAAUAUGGCACAAAAAAAAGAAGGAAGUAUCAGCUAUUUACAAGAGCCUCGCAGUGUGCAAUAUAGCUACGAGAUCCUGUUGUCUGUUGGAAUUUCACUUUAGAACGGUUGGUUUUGUUCUUCAAACAGUUAGCCUAGAAGAAGAUACACUUGUAAGGCACAUACAUAAAUACAAGUUCAAUAUGUGGUCUGAUCAAAUACAUAUAGCCUACUUGAUACUUUGGAUCAGACCAGUGUUUAACAAGGGCUGUCCAGUCUUCAUCUGUAAUAUAUUCCACUGGAGAUGUUUGGGCGAUUUCAUUGUUAGCCAUGCCUUCAAAGUGAGAUUUUCUAAGGUGGUACCGAUACUCUCGCAGAGCAGACUGAAAACAUGAGUGCAUGCUUGUUUAGUUGCAUCAUCUUUCGGAUCCAACUUGAACCUCAUCUGUUGAAAAAAGAAUGUGAGUCUUAUUAGGAGGAAGCUAGAAAGUAUGGGACAGAGCAAGACAAUAUUACUAAUUGCGAUGAAUAACAUUACUUACGGAUAAAUGGUCAAGGAAGGUGUUAAACUGGGUAUUGUCUUUCUCAUUCCUGUACUGGAUCCAUGUUGGGAGGAUACGUGCAUGACACCUAACGGCAAUGGCUGCCUCUGAUACUAACUUGGCUGACUCUGUAGCAUCACGUGGCCUUUUUAAACCUGCCUCAAAAUGGAUCUCCAUUCUUCCUCCUUUAGAUUUUGUUAAUCUGUCAAGCAUUAUCCCUGAUGUCUGUUUCCGCUUGCGCCGUGGUGCUAGUUCAACAACGAAUAUGGAAAGUGUUAGUGUACAUCAAACUGUGAGAGUACAUAUAAAGGAGCAUGCAACUGCAACUUGACUCGGUCAGGUACCGUCUUGGUGUUGAUGCUCAUGAGGUUCAUCUGAUCUUGCCAAGUCCUGUUGUGUCAGCAGUGCUUCGGAAGUAGUGUUAGGUGUGAAGGCAGCUUGGGAACUGGCCAGUUCUGGAGCAAACGAACGAGUAACUGGUUGAGAUGCUGGUACAGUUGAAGCGGAUGCUACAGCUGGUGGAGCAGGUGAUACUGUGUUUGUAGAUUUAGCCGGUGGACUUGGACCUUCUACUGCACUAUAAGUACCAGCAGCAUCUCGACGGCAGAACCUUUUCCGUUUCACCCGACGAGUAACAGCAGUCCCUACUAUAUUAUUUUCCUUGCUCUUUUUUGACUUUGCCAUGUCAAGCUGUACCCACAACACAAAAGAAUAAAAUCACUCUUCAGAACUCAUUGAUGCAUGAUACAGACAAGCAAUACUUUGAUGUAAGACAACCGUAUGAGGAUGGAAUAUGUAAGAAAAACAGGACGGCAUGACAUAUUCACAGCUACGAUGUGCAAACUAAGCAGAAGGAUUUUUAAGAAAAUGGAAGUAAUGCAACCUAGACACCAUAUAAAAGAUGCAACCAAUAUUACUCUGCCAAGUUAAAAGUGUCUUGUCAUAAGUGGCAAUUCAAAAAAUUAGAAGCAGUACAACGUAGAAAUCAAUGCAAGAUGCAACCACUAUCAAACUGCCAUGUUAAAAGCGUCCAAUCAUGAGUGACUGUUGCGGGAUACACAAUAGCAGUACUUUGAUGUACGAACAUGGUAUGAUAGAUAGAUGCAGUGUAUUCUAGACACAGAAAGCCAUGUCAUAUGCACAUGUAUAACGUAUAAACUCAGCAGGUGCAAUUUAAUCAAAAUAGAAGAAAUACAGGCUAGAAAACAUAUGCAACAUGAAACCAAUUAUCACACUGUCAACUUAGAGCAAGCACCUGCGAUGGUGGAGUACGAGAGAUGAACUCAUCCUGUAGACUUGGGACUUCAACUUCAUUAGCAGUAGCAGUGGAAAAUCUAGAGAGUCUCUGUUUGCGUCGGUGCGGAGGACCACCAACAUCCCCUAACUUACUCUUUUCCUUCCUAUUUUCUGAUAUUGCCUUAUGAAGUCAAAACCACAAGAAGAUGAAUAAAAUUAGCUCUGCAUAACUGGUUGAUGCAUGAUACAGACGAACACUACUUUGAUGUAAGGCAAGCGCAGGAUAGGAGGAUGGAAUAUAUACAAAAAAAGACAGCGUUUCAUAUUCACACGUACCAUAGGAGGAUGGAAUAUGUAUGAAAAAACAGUAAGCGGAAGGCAUUUCAACAAAAUUAGAAGAAAUGAAAGCUAGGCACCAUAUGAACAUGCAACCAAUAUCACUCUAUCAUGUAAAAAGUGUCUCGUCGUAAGUGCCAUUUCAAGAAAUUAGAAGCAGUACAAGCUAGAAGACAAUGCAAGAUGCAACCUACAUCACAGUCCCAAGUUAAAUGUGUCUUAUGGGUAAGUGAUCGUUGCAGGUAUAAGUUGUAAGCUACGCAGAUGCAAUUCAACAUAAUCAGAAGCAAUACAAACUAGACAUCAUACGGAAAACGCAAUCACGUAUAACAGUUCCAAGUAAGAGCAAGCACCUGUGAUGGUGGAGUAGGGGAGGUGUGCUCAUCGUGUACACGUAUGUUCUAGAAACAGGAACACGUGUCAUAUUCACAGGUAUUAUGUGUAAAGUAAGCAGAUGCAAUUCAAGUUAGAAGCAAUACAAGCUAGACAUCAUACGCAACAUGCAACCACAUAUAAUAGUGUCAAGUUAGAGCAAGCACCUGUGAUGGUGGAGUAGGGGAGAUGUGCUCAUCAUCUACACAACUACGUUGACUGUCCAGCCUUGUGUUGUCUUGCGAAUCUUGUUGGGAGGAUGGCGGAGUAGAAUCUGUAGAGACCCCCUGUUUGAGUUGCUCCGAAGGACCACCAUCAUCCACUGCCGAACUAAUUUCCUUCAGCUGUAAUGAUUUUGCAUUGUGAAGUCAAACCGAUAAGAAAAAGGAAUAAAAUUCGCUCUUCAGAACUCAUUCAUGCAUGAUACUGACGAACACUACUCGGAUGAAAGGCAAACACAUGAUGCGAGGAUGGAAUAUGUAUGAAAAACAGGAUGGUGUGACAUAUUUACACCUAUGAUGUGGUAACUAAGCAGAAGGCAUUUCAACAAAUUAGAAGCACUGCAAGCUAGACACCAUAUGAAAGAUGCAACCAAUAUCACUCUGCCAAGUUCAAACUGUAUGGCGUUUCAACAAAUUAGAAGCAGUACAUGCUAGAAAUCAUAUGCAAGACACAACCAAUAUCACAGUGGCGACUUAAAGGUGCCUUAUCAUAAGUGACUGAUGCGGGAUAUGCAAGAAUAGUAGUCUGAUGUAGAAACAGGAACACAUGUCAUAUUCACAGGCAAUAUGUGUAAAGUAAGCAGAUGCAAUUCAACAAAGUUAGAAGCAAUACAAGCUAGACAUCAUACGCAACAUGCAACAACAUAUAAUAGUGCCAAGUUAGAGCAAGCACCUGUGAUGGUGGAGUAGGGGAGAUGUGCUCAUCAUCUACACAGCUACGUUGACUUUCUAGCCUUGCGUUGUCUUGCGAAUCUUGUUGGGAGGAUGGCGGAGUAGAAUCUGUAGAGAACCUCCGUUUCAGUUGCUCGGAAGGACCACCAUCAUCCAAUGCCUUGCCAAUUUCCUUCAGCUUUAUUGAUUUUUAAUUGUGAGGUCAUACCGACAAGAAAAAGGAAUAUCAUUCGCUCUUCAGAACUCAUUCAUGCAUGAUACUGACGAACACUACUCUGAUGAAAGGCAAAGUCAUGAUACGAGGAUGGAAUAUGUACGAAAAAAUGGACGGCUUGACAUAUUCACACCUAUGAUGUGGUAACUAAGCAGAAGGCACUUUAACAAAUUAGAAACACUGCAAGACACCAUAUGGAAGGUGCAAUCAAUAUCACUCUGCCAAGUUAAAACUGUCUCGUCAUAGGUGGCGUUCAUCAAACUAGAAGCAAUACAUGCUAGAAAUCAUAUUCAAGACGCAAACCAAUAUCACACUGCCAACUUAAAGGUGUCCCAUCAUAAGUGACUGAUGCAGGAUACACAAGAAGAGUAGUUUCAUGUAAGAACAUGGUGUGAUAGACAGAUAUAGUAUGUACCAAAAAUAGGAAAGCGUGUCAUAUUCACAUGUAUCAUGUGUAAGCUAAGCAGAUGCAGUUUACACUAAUUAGGAGCAAUACGAGCUAGACACCAUAUGCAACAUGCAACCAGAUAUCACACUGCCAAGUUAGAGCAAGCACCUUGGAUGGUGGAGUAGGGGAGCGGAGACUUGGACCUUGUAAUGCACUAUCAAUACAAGGAGAAUCGGUACAGAUGCUCCGUUUACGUUGCUGCAGAGGACCACCAUCAUUGCCUUCCUUACUCUUUCUUGAUUUUGCCUUGUCAAGUCAAACCCACAAGAAAAAGGAAUAAAAUUUGCUCUUCAGAACUCAUUGAUGCAUGAUACUGACGAACACUACUUUCAUGUAAGGCAGCCGCAUGAUAGGAGGAUGGAAUAUGUAUGAAAAACAGGACGGCGUGACAUAUUGACAUGUAUGAUGUAUAAAGUGUAAACUAAGCACAAGGUGCUUGAACUUGUUAGAAUCGAUGCAAGCUAGAAACCAUAUGAAAGAUGAAACCAUUAUCACUCUGCCAAAUUAAAAGGGUGCCCUAAUAAAUGUAUUUGACCAAAUUAGAAGCAAUACAUGGCAACAGGCUAGAAAUAAUAUGCAAUAUGCAACGAAUAAAGGUGACUCAUCGUAAGUGAUUGAUGCAGGAUACAGAAGAGAGGUAGUUUCAUGUAAGAACAAGGUUAACACAUAGAUGUAGUGUGUACCAAAAAUAGGAAGCCAUGUCAUAUUCACAGGUAUAGUGUGUAAACUAAGCAGAUGCAAUUUACCCUAAUUAGAAGCAUUACAAGCUAGACACCGUAUGCAACAUGCAACCACAUAUCACACUGCGAAGUUAGAGCAAGCACCUGUGAUGGUGGUGUUGGGGAAGUGCGGUCUUCAAGUACAGAGCUAUGUUCAAUAUCUUCAUUUAGGCUUGUUGUUUCUUGAGAAUCAUGUGGAGAGGAUGAAAUUGCAUUCUUUAUAAGAGUAUUGCGUCUCAUAUUAACCCACGCGCGUGACUGUCUCAUCAUAAGCAAUAGACGCAGGAUACACAAGAACAAUAGUUUGAUGUAAGAACAUGGUGUGAUAGGCAGAUGUAGUAUGUACCAAAAACAGGAAGGCUUGUCAUAUUCACAUGUAUAAUGUGUAAGCUAAGGAGAUGCAAUUUAACAAAUUAGGAGCAUUGAUGAGGGAUACACAAGAAAAGUAGUUUGAUGUAAGAACAUGGUUAAUCGAAAGACGUAGUAUGUACCAAAAACAAGAAGGCAUGUCAUAUUCACAGGUAUAAUGUGUUAACUAAGCAGAUGCAAUUUACCCUAAUUAGAAGCAUUACAAGGUAGACACCAUAUGCAACAUGCAACCACAUAUCACACUGCCAAGUAAGAGCAAGCACCUGCGAUGGUGGUAUGGGGGAAUUGCGGUGAUCAACUAGAGAGCUACGUUGACUAUCUUCAUUUAGCCUUGCUGUUUCUUGAGAAUCAUGUGGGGAGGAUGACACUGCACUCUUUAAACGAGUAGGGCGUCUCACAGUAACCCACUCGGGUGAUUGUCUCAUCAUAAGUGAUUGACGAGGGAUACAAAAGAGCAUUAGUUUGAUGUACGAACAUGGUUAAUAGACAUAUGUAGUAUGUAUCAAAAACAGGAAGGCAUGUCAUUAUCAAAGGUAUAAUGUGUAAAGUAAGCAGAUGCAAUUUAACCAAAUUGGAAGCAAUACAAGCUAGACACCAUAUGCAACAUGCAACCACAUUUGACAGCGCGAAGUUAAAGCAAGCACCUGGGAUGGUUGUGUGUGGCAAUUGAGAUCAUCAACUGCAGAGCUACGUUUACUGUCUCCAACUGCUGACACUGCACCCAUUAGAGCGCUGAAACGCUUAGUGCUUAUCUUUGAAUUACACUGGAGCGACUUCUGUCUUUCUUUUUUGCAUUCAUCAACACUGCGUCAGAGUCUGAAAUACCCAUGCAUAAAAAAACAAUAGUGUGAGCAUGGGUGAAGUGUGUGCACAAUUAGUACAGUGUAAAGGUAGCAGAUAGCAGGUCAGUGAGAAAUAAAUGACGGGAGACAUAUGAUAGCUCUACAACAUGCAUGGCACACUAAAUUACUACAGGAUUCUAUGAAAAUAACAGUCGACUGAAAGCAAAUAGGCCAGUCCAUUUUUUCUGCACCGUCCGAUGUACAAAGAACGGGCAGAUCGCCUUCAUCUACCUCCAGCCAGUCAGUGUUGACGAUCUUCCUUGAAACGCCAGCGACCACCGGCCCAGUAUUACUCCCCUGCCUGUGCCCUCCCCUCGACCUCACCGCACCGCCGUGCUUGGCACCGCCCCCCGGCCAUCCAUUCAAGCCCCGCCGACCUCCAGAUCGGGCGCAAGCAGCUCCUGCGCCCCACACCCCUAUGAUAGACACCGAUGCACCGCUUCCCUGGGGAACAGACGGACUAGGUGCUCCGCGCGCCUAAGCGGGUGCUGCUUCUUUUAAUUGCGGUUCGACUGACCCUGAAUUGAAAUCCAGGUGGGCUACUGACCUCUAGCAAAGGUGAAAUAGUAAAAGGGAGGAAACCUUGUGCAUUUAGUAUCACGAAGAAGAUGCAGUAAGAAGCGCUCAACUAGUUUCUUUCGUGGGAUGAAUACGGUGUGAGCGGAGACGUAAGAUUUGCACGAAUAAGGGAAGAGGAGUACCUCUUUCUGCUGGCAGUGCUGUGUCCUCCUUCUGUUUUUCCGACGAUCUUCUUGUUGUUCGCCGGAAACCAGAAGUUGUGGAGGACGGUGCAACCUUGGACGAACCCAUGGCCAAGUUGUUGAGUGUGGUGCGGUGGCCGUCUGUCGGCGGCGGGGAAGCAGAUCCGAGGCGGCGGACGACGGCGUAGCGGGAACAGCUCCGGUGCGGUGGACGGUUGCGACAGUGGAGCCGCAGCAGUGAGGCGCAAGACGGCGUGGUCGAAGUGGUUCUGUUACGGCGCACGUCGGCGUCGGCGUCGUGGAGGCAGCUCUGCCUCAGCUUCAGCUGCUAUGUCCUUGAGGGCGUUGCAGUUGCGGUUGCGUUGGACGACGACGUCGGGGUACCGGCUCCGGCGUGAUGGAGGAGGGCGGCGGUGGAUUGGCCGCUAUGGGGUGGAGGAUGGAGGAGGCUGGGGUUUCGCGGCUGGUGGAGAUGGCGUUUUCACGCCCACGGAGUAUGAAUGGGGAAACGGAGGGAGGCGGGGAACUAAGGGGGAACAAUGUUUCGGUUUGAGACGCGCUUGUUUGAAAUUUGGGGAAAGUUACAAACUUUGCCCCCAUCUAAAAUUUCGGACAUAUUGCGGGUUGGGGGUAGGACAGUCAUGUCAGCUAUCCCAAAUGUGCGCGGGAUAGAUUUCGGCCGAGCGCAUGGGUAGGCGCCCACGGCGUAUGGAUGCUUCUCGGAGGCGGUUGAGACUGAUGUCUUGGUGAAGUUACAAACCUACCCCGGUUUAGACCUUUGGACAUCGGGCCGAUAGGCUACACGGGCCAGAGUCAGGACAGUAAUUUCCUACCACCAAAACAUUAGUCUCGCGCGGUUUCGGGUGACCAGAGACCUAUUUGGCGCUUCGUUCAAUAUUUGGGAGCAGAAGCAUUAACGUUUUCGGUUCUCUUGAAUUGAACUUUCAGGAUUUGUCAAACUUCACAAAUCUUUACUCUUGAAAAUCCUAAAGCUACAAUUAUUUUGGAAUGGAGGGGGUACAUUUGAAUAUACAUUGUACACGAGUAUAUAUUAAAAAUAUGCAACUUACCUCAGUUCAUGCAUGGUUCCAGAUAUAAUCUCCUUGGUUGCAAAAAAAAGUUAGAUAUGCGUAUGAAUAUAUAUAGCAUGUUCAAACUCACAACAAAGAUUGAUGCCCCCUUUUACAUCUGAUUUACAAAUGCCAUUAUCUCGGGUUCAAAUAGAUGAAUGCACUUCCUAUGAAUUCGAAUCUUCGAAACCCCCUUUAUGUUGAAUUCGACAUGUAUUCUAUUUUGUAGCUAGCAAUUUGGAAUGUAUCCAUGCAAGUAACAAAUGUAUAAAGUGCUUCACACUAACAACAUGGAGUGCACUAAUUAAUGUUUAUAUAUGAAUUGCAAAAGCAUCCAUUGCCUGUAUUUCAAACCACUCUCACUCUAUGGAUCGAUAAUAUGAAAUAAACACAUGCACAUGCUAGAAUUCAAUAGAGUAUGGGUGUCUGAUAGACCGAUUUUCACCCAUACGCAAUUUGCAAAAUUCAUGAUCUCAUCCAAAAAUAAUAAUGCCAUUUAUAUUUUAAUUUAAUGCGUAGAACCGCCUUUUACACAUAGAUGCACUAUGCCUCGCCCCGUUCUCACAAACGCGUUAUAUAUCUCUCUAUCUAACGCAUAAGUGCACACACUUUAUAUGCAUCGGCAUUUCUCCUUCACACAUGCUCACAAUCUCUCUCAGGGUGUCGGGGUGUCUCACGCACAUGCUCUCUCUGUUUCUCUCUCUCUUUCUGACUACUAUGUAUCACUCUUUUCACUAAUCUCAGUUGGAAAACACUAUUUCUCUCACAUGCAUAUAUACACAUGCAUGGUCUCUACUAGCCCUCUAUACGCACAUAUAUGUGCCUACGUGUCUCCCGCACGCACAUUAUCUUUAGGCCUCUCUCGCACACAUUGCCCCCCCGACACACCUCUCUCUUAGUAGUUGGCAGAUAUGAUUUCAUCAUAUCAUUCGGUAGGAUAUCCCUGGCUGUUUGGCUGGAUGGUAAUACGAGGCAAAGUCUUACCCUAGUUCGGAUCAGACCCUUGCAGUUGAAGAAAGAGCCUACUCGUGGUACUGUAUAUUAGUGAUAGGGGUGUGUACAAAGUACACGUGAAUACCAGGCAUUGUGCGUGUGUGUAUACUAUCGACGAACUAGCCCCCAAGCUUGUAUAACAUACUAAGGGCCUAGAGUUACAAAUCAUAUAUAGUCGGCUUAUCACCAGUGGGGAUAGAGUCCUCCGCGACUCUGGUAGCUUCGUGUUGUACGCCGAGUCAUCCACAUGGGUCUUCGUAUAACACGUCUCGGUCGAACCUAUAUGUGGCGCAGGAUGGAACCGACCCAUGAGUCUUCAUGUUGACCCACCACAACUAGAAAUGAUGUGCCGACCACACCACACACGCAAUCGGCCACUAAGAAAAUAAGCAUAUACAAUAGUACAACGGUAUCUAGUUCAUGAUACGUCUCCAUAUUUUGUUGAUGACACUGACGGACUUUGCAUUUGAUGCGUGCUCCGUAUUUUUUUGACGACACUUACAGUCAUUGUAUUUGAAGCGAAAGCACGAUAUGGUCACUGGACUUCAGAAUAAGCUCAUCACGGUCACCACAUACAUUUUGUCGUGCUAACCAACAUGUGGUUGGAUGGUUAGAGGACAGUGGUUUCUCGAGCCCACCAAGGUUAAAGUCCCGGUGCUCGCAUUUAUCUUGUGUUAAUUUCAGUAUUUUCCGGCAAUGUACGUUCAGUGGGAGGAGACGUUCCACUCGACUACGAGGCACCUAUGGUGACUUCGUAAAAUCUCAAGAUCAUAUAUGCUGGCCCACUCUCUCGAAGGAGCUCAUAGGGGUAGGGUUCGCGUGUGUGCGCUUAUAGCGGUGAGUGCUUGCGUGUAUAUAUGAGCCCUUGCGUCUGUACCGUGUUAAACAAAUACAUAUCAUGAUUAUACGGUCACUGGCUCACCCGUACAACUCGUAUUUUGUUGAUGACACAAUCAAUUGACCAGUCAAACGUUCCACGUGGCGCAACUAGUGUUGCACCAUCGGGGCGCGUAACCGUGGGGCCCACCUGUCAGCCCGUAUAUGAAAGAAAGAAAUGGUAGUUUGAGUCUGUACUGUGUUAAUAAAAUAGGAGUACAUUUUAGGGUGAUCAUACGGUCACUGGCUCACCAUACAGCUCCGUAAUUUGUUGAUAACACGAUCAAUUGACCAGUCAAACGGUCCACAUUCAGCAGCGCACAUUACCAUAGGGCCCACCCGUCAGCGCGUAUAUGAAGGACAUAAAUGGUAAUAAAUUAGUGGUCGGUGGGUAUUCGAAGUCGUGAGACCUCUGGUUGGCAGUCACCGGCGGUUGGGGGGGGCGUUCAUUGGGCGGUGGGGUGGGGAUCCCUGGAGAAAAAGCUCGGUNNNNNNNNNNNNNNNNNNNNNNNNNNNNNNNNNNNNNNNNNNNNNNNNNNNNNNNNNNNNNNNNNNNNNNNNNNNNNNNNNNNNNNNNNNNNNNNNNNNNNNNNNNNNNNNNNNNNNNNNNNNNNNNNNNNNNNNNNNNNNNNNNNNNNNNNNNNNNNNNNNNNNNNNNNNNNNNNNNNNNNNNNNNNNNNNNNNNNNNNNNNNNNNNNNNNNNNNNNNNNNNNNNNNNNNNNNNNNNNNNNNNNNNNNNNNNNNNNNNNNNNNNNNNNNNNNNNNNNNNNNNNNNNNNNNNNNNNNNNNNNNNNNNNNNNNNNNNNNNNNNNNNNNNNNNNNNNNNNNNNNNNNNNNNNNNNNNNNNNNNNNNNNNNNNNNNNNNNNNNNNNNNNNNNGGUGCGGCGGCGGACCGGCGGUGGGGAGUGGUUUCGGGGAGGGCGGGCCGGCCGCGGGCGGCGGGGGCUGGCAGUUCGGUCGGUGGUGGCUGGCGGCUCAGGGGGGUGGAGUUUGAUGAUAAACUGGAGGCCCUUGAUUUCGUAUCCAACGGCUGGAAAAUCUAAUGACCAGAGAUGAAAAAGUCAGUCGACUGACGUGUAGCCUCACCCCGCACGUACACAUGCAUGCACGCAAGACACGCACGCAUGUAGGCAUGCAACACUGACACGUACACACGCACGCGUGCUGGCGUGCAACACUGACACGUACACAUGCACUCACGAACACACGCAUGUACGCACCCAUGCAUCCAACACUGAAACGUACCCUUGCACGCACGCAACACUCGCACGCCUGAAUGCACACAGCACACGACGCAAGACACACGCUCAACCUAUACGUGCAUGCACCCUUUGUUAAGGACAUGGAUUGUUAUGGGUAUUAAUCAAUCUUAUCUGUGAUAAGCAGAACAUUGAUGUUUGCAGCUGUCUUUAUGAAUCACAACGUAUCGAACGGGCUAUCAACAUAGUAGGCUUAUCUACAUGAAAAAGAUGACGUCACACUCAAUGAACAAUCAUCGGUUUAUGAAAUGCCCGCUUCUGACCGCCCUGGCCCACCAAAGGUUCCUCUGCUGUGCGCUGCCUGCGUUGGGUCACUGACAUGCAAGCCAUGCACCCAAAGAGCCCACAUGUCAGUGGAAGAAUGGCGCGGUGUCCUAGGUCAGAGUCGAGGGCGCCACUCGCGGCACGCCCGGCUGAACACGCCUCCGUGCCGCAUUCAAACGCCUCCAUGGAACCUGCCUGUGUGGAAGCUGAGAAACCCACUCUGGACACACGUCUGCUCAUGACCGGGCCGGCGUUAAAUGCAACGCCAGCCGAGCUCCUCCCAUCCGCCGUCUAUUUGAUCUCCUAUUUAAACGAGGCCAAACGCCGACCAAGAAUCACACACCUCCGCCGCUCCCCUAUCUCCUCCACCAUUUUGUCCACUCUUACAAUGGCUUACGAAGAGUAGUUAUUCCGCAUCCAAGCCGGCUGGGUAGCCCGCCGGAUACGAGCUCUGCAGCUCGCUGAUCCACCUCCCUCCCCUCGCCCAACGGAGCUAGUUGCCGCCCCAAGCCGGCGCGCGGUUCAGCAACUCGCCGCUCCAGGCCAGCUCGACGAGGAGCGGCGCACGGGCGUCGUUGCUGCCGUCCACGCCGCCACCUCGUACCGCGUCUCCCGUUUCUGUGGCCGAGACUCCCAUGCCGGCGGCCGUGCCAUGCAAGCAGCGACAGAAGCCGGGUACGCGGAGAGCGACGAGUCGGUGGACAGCGCCUCCGCGUCCGCCGCCAUCAUCGAGGAGAAGUAGAACACGGGAGGCCGCCGCCGCUUGGGUCCCAUGAAGGCCACCGCGGAGGCGACGCCGGCGUACACAGCAGGUGUCUUGCCGGAUCCUUUCACUACAAAAAAAAUACACUUCCGUGAUGAUACGUGUUUGUCACAGUAGGUCGCGUUUUUUGUCAUGCAUGUACAUCCAUGACAAAUUUAUGACAGAAUCAAGAUAGUCAUACCUGUGCUGUCGUAGAAGUGUUCCAUGACAUUACCAAAAUUAUCAUCACGGAAGUGUCCACUUCCAUGACGAUAAAUCGCGCGUCACAGAAGUGCUUUCGUCAAGGGUGACCGACACGUGGCAUCCACCGUAACGGAACGCCGUUAAGCUAUCGGGUCGGGUUUUGGAUCCGAUAACCCGUUAAUAGCCCCGACCAAUGGGGAUUUUCCACGUGUAAAAUCAUCAUUGGCUGGAGGAAACACGUGUCGGCUCAUCGCUGGGACAGAUGUCAUCCACUCAUUGGACAGAAGGCGCCUAUGAUACGUCGACACGUGGCAUGGCCCAACAGAGGCCCAUUCCUGUGAAAAGGCCGUCCCGUUUGACUUGGUCAAAAGGUGGCGGGCCGGCCCAUGGAAAGCCCGUUAAUGGCCUGUUCGCAUAUAGCCCAUUUACAGCCCGCUAACCCAAGGCCCGUUACGCCCUAUUCGAAUUAGGCCCAGUAGCGUCAUCUGGGCCAUCCAAUAUGAUUCCAGCCCGUUUUCACUUCUGGCCCAUGUAUGGCCCAUGACGUCUUUCGGCCCAUAUGAGGCCCUAUGUAACUCUUGGCCUAUAAACGGCCCGUGGUGAAACUGGCCCGUAAUGAACAGUGUAUCACUUUACACCCAUUAACGGCCCGUGGUGAAACUGGCCCGUAAAGAACAGUGUAUCACUUUAUACCCAUUAACGGCCCGUUAUUCCGUUGGGCCGUUUCCAGCCCAUGUUAUCUUUCGGCCUUCUCAGAGCCCAGUUAUUCUUGGGCUAUUUUCCAGCAUUCGUUUACUUACGGCCCGUUACUGUCAUUUUCUGCUUGUGGGCCAAAUUCAGCCCGUGGUUACAGUCGGCCCGUUUGUGGUCCGUUAAUACGUUGGGCCGUUUUCAUUGCGUCAUCAAAUACGGCCUAUUAACGAUGGCCCGUUAUGGUCGGCCCAUGAACGGACGAUUCCAACUCUAGCCCAUUUACGGCCAGAAUGCGGUCUGUUUGGCCCAUGUUUGGCCAAUCGAUCAUACGGCCCGUAUAAGGCCCAUUGAUGAUACGGCCCGUAGAAGGCCCAUUGUUUCUACGGCCCGUAGAAGGCCCACUAUUUCUACGGCCCAUAGAAGGCCCACUGUUUCUACAGCCCGUAGAAGGCCCACUGUUUCUACGGCCCGUAGGAGGCCCAGUGUCACUACAGUAAAUAUUAGCCCAUGGUUAUUGUGGCCUAGUUUUAAAAAAUAGGUUAUUGCAGCCACUAGCAAACCGCAGAAAAAGAACUGCACCGACUACAAGCAAACAAAUAAACAAGACAACAAGGAAAUAAAUAAGCAAGCAACUUACACUAGGCUAUCAUGGCUAUUACACAUAUUACAUCCACUGGGCAUCAAAGUUCGCCACCAGUGCAAAUAUAGGGAACACAACAGCAUAUAAACGCCGCAGCAAAACAAGUCCAGAACUGAAACCACUUCAGAAGAGCUCAAGAAAAAAUAUCCUGGGUACCCAUAAUGCUGGCAAGAUGCUUAGCAAGCUUAUUAACUUUCUCUUGUUUGGCGCUUAAGUCCUCCAGCGCUUGCUGUUGCACCAGAAAGUAUGCAUCUGAAUUCUGCAGGGACUUCCUCAGUCCUUCGGCUUCCUGUCGCAUAACAUCUGAUCGAUGUCUUUCAACUUGAAGUUGAGACUCAAGAAGCCGAACUGAUUCAGGCAACGAGUUCGAAGAGCUGGUGCCAGCAGUGGUAGCCAGUUGUAGCGACCAGACCUCAAAUGGUCUGUGCUGCUGUGCACCAGUGUCAUCCCUGGAUCCGUAAUGCUGACACGCACAGUAAAAAUGGAGGAUUUAUAACAGAGUAGCAAUCACACACUUAUUACAUCGAAUAUCUCCAAAGAGAUUAAGUAUGAAAAUAUGGCUUAAGGCCAUCUAAAAACGAUAACAGCGGAAGACUUGGAAGAUAAGUGAGUCCAUCAACUCCAGCGGCAUCACUGAGUAUAAGACCACGACCUAAGGCACCUUACUCGUCGUCUGAAAAGUCUGCAACAUGAAACGUUGCAGCCCGAAAAUAGGUCAGCACAUAGAAUAUGCUGGCAAAGUAACACAUAGAGAGUAAUGAACAAUAAUAAUGCUAUACUACAUGCAUAUAUGGCUGGUGGAAAGCUCUAUGGUUACAUUUUAUGCGAAAAGCCAAUUAUUCCCUACUUCAAAGGAAUAAAUUUUAUUUAACUAUCAUGGUGGUUGUGAAACAUUGAGAUGGUUGACAGCAUCUCAAUCCCAAUUAAGAGUCAUCAAUAACCCCACAAAAUUAAUUAAAAGUAACAUGGUGAUGAGAUUCAAACGAUAAUCCAGGUACUAGAUACUCAAGUUGUCCAUAACCGGGGACACGGCGAACCAUGAUUAGUUUGUACACUCUGCAGAGUUUUGUGCACCUUUCCCCACAAGACUCGAUCGCCUCCGCGUGAUUCUCGCACUGCAUGAUGUUUGAGAAACGGAUGACCGAGACACAGUCUUUCAGGAACAAUCACUCUUUACUCUGGGUGGACCGGUACACCUACUUUCCCCUACAUCUGCUAGCCCACCUCUUCAAGAGAUCUUGUAACCUACUCAACUAUGCUAGAGCCCAUAAUAGCUUGUGGCUGCACACGGAAGUUUCUAGCAUGAAUAAUCUUAUGAUCCCUUUGAGCCUGGGUGGCGGUCCUUAUACAAACAGACAACACUGGAUUCUCGAGGUGCCUCAGUCCACCCAGAUGUGAGUUUUAGUUGCCACCUUAGGUAAACCAUUAUUAUCAAUCUCACAUCUGUCAUGAAUAUCUCUCAAACCCAAUCCACGUCUACGAGCAUAGCAUGGCAAUAUAAUAGCAACGUAGAGGUAACUCCCAAGGGUUUGAUAAGAAAACAGGUAAUAGGUACUACCUCAACUACUUCCUAAUACCCACAAUUUAAUUAGAUCCUAGUCAUGCAAUGUUUGAGGAAUAGAUCUAAUGCAAUAAAAACUGGGUAUGGAAGGUAUAUGAUCAAAGUGUUACUUGCCUUGCUGAUGAUCCGCGAAACCUAGCGAUUCGAAGUAACAAACGGCACACUCCAGGUACUCUAUCGCAAACAAACAAGCAAACAAUAAGUACUCAUCUAAUGCACAGGUAAAACUCGAAUGAAAGAUCCAACCAGAAAGUUCAACUUAAGAACUCCGAUUUGCAAAAAGAAUCAACUCGAACGAAGCAAUGAAAGUCAAACGGCGAAAGAAACAAGCUUCGUUUACUAAUCUGGAUCUAGGUCAAAUUUUACAGUAGCAAAAACUUGUUUGAGUAGGUUAAACGGAAAGAGAAUUUCGAGACGAAACUCUAGGCGCUUGAAUCGCCUGAUUCCGAUAAACGAGCGAAAAGUUAAACAGAAACGAAGAUUCGAUCAGAAAUCGAAUCUGAGAUAAUCGCGGAAAAAUCCGACGAAAAAGAAAAACGGACGAACGGUUAAAGAACGGACGUUCGUUAACAGAGAAAAACCGACGAACGCGUUCGUUAAAACGAACGGUUCGGUGAACGUUCACAAAAUAACAAAACCGAAAAAAAACCGAUCUAGGUUUUUUUUUAAACGAACGGUUUUUUAUUUUAAAAACAAAACCAGCAAAACGAGGCGAGGUCUANNNNNNNNNNNNNNNNNNNNNNNNNNNNNNNNNNNNNNNNNNNNNNNNNNNNNNNNNNNNNNNNNNNNNNNNNNNNNNNNNNNNNNNNNNNNNNNNNNNNNNNNNNNNNNNNNNNNNNNNNNNNNNNNNNNNNNNNNNNNNNNNNNNNNNNNNNNNNNNNNNNNNNNNNNNNNNNNNNNNNNNNNNNNNNNNNNNNNNNNNNNNNNNNNNNNNNNNNNNNNNNNNNNNNNNNNNNNNNNNNNNNNNNNNNNNNNNNNNNNNNNNNNNNNNNNNNNNNNNNNNNNNNNNNNNNNNNNNNNNNNNNNNNNNNNNNNNNNNNNNNNNNNNNNNNNNNNNNNNNNNNNNNNNNNNNNNNNNNNNNNNNNNNNNNNNNNNNNNNNNNNNNNNNNNNNNNNNNNNNNNNNNNNNNNNNNNNNNNNNNNNNNNNNNNNNNNNNNNNNNNNNNNNNNNNNNNNNNNNNNNNNNNNNNNNNNNNNNNNNNNNNNNNNNNNNNNNNNNNNNNNNNNNNNNNNNNNNNNNNNNNNNNNNNNNNNNNNNNNNNNNNNNNNNNNNNNNNNNNNNNNNNNNNNNNNNNNNNNGGUAUAUAUAGAAGGGGGGGUUCGGCGGCUUGGGGAAGGGGGCACCGGGGUUCCCGUGCUCGCCAUGGACACCGGGCGGCGGCGGGCAUCGUCGCGGGGAAGGAGACGGCGGGCGGACCGGCGGCCUGGCUCGGCUGGGCUCGGCCCAGUCGGGCGCGGCGAUUUUUUUUAAAUACGUUCCGCGGAAAAAUUCGUAGAAAAAUAAAUAAAAGUCCAAAAAAGAUAAAACAAGUUUUCCCCGUCUAGUUAGAAAAUCUAGAAUAGGGUGAACAUUUUUUUGACACAAAAUAAUUUUUUGAAAACAUGCAAUAUUUUUAAUGCAAUUAAAAUUGCAAAUAAAAUCCGAAUAAAUUCCAAUAAAUGAUUUUAACACUUUUCCUCCAGUAUUUCAAUUGUUUUGGAGAAGUCAUAUUUUCUCCUCUCAUUUAUUUUUAAAUGAAAUAUUUUUCCGGAGAGAAAAUAAUUAAAACCAAAAUCCUCGUUUUAUAAUUUGAUGAAAAUCAAAUAUGAAAAUUCGAGAAAAUCCCUAACUCUCUCCGAGGGUCCUUGAGUUGCUUAGGAUUUAUCGAGGAUUUGUCAAAAUGCAAUAAAAUAUGAUAUGCAAUGAUGAUCUAUGUAUAACAUACCAAAUUGAAAAUUUGGGAUGUUACAAACCUACCCCCCUUAAGAUGAAUCUCGCCCUUGAGAUUCGGGUUGGCUAGAAAACAGGUGGGAGUGGUCCUUCCGUAGAUCUUCCUCUCGCUCCCAGGUGGCUUCAUCUUCCGUGUGGUGACUCCACUGGACUUUGCAAAACUUGAUAACCUUACUGCGGGUAACUCGGCUGCCAUACUCAAGAAUCUUAACUGGUUUCUCCUCAUAGGUCAAAUCACUUUCCAGCUGAAUUGCUUCCAGUGGCACAGUAUCUCUCAGUGGUAUCUAGGCCAUCUCUGCAUGGCACUUCUUCAACUGGGAGACGUGAAAUACAUCAUGAACUCCAGACAAUCCUUCGGGCAAUUCCAGCUUGUAGGCAACCUCUCCCAUACGUUCCACAACUCUGUAUGGUCCGAUAAAACGGGGCGCUAAUUUUUCCUUAACUCCAAAGCACUUCACUCCUCGAAGUGGUGAUACUCGAAGAUAAACUCGGUCUCCGACUUCGUGAACUGUCUCCUUUCGUUUAGAAUCAGCAUAACUCUUCUGCUUGGACUGGGCUACCCUGAGCCUAUCGCGAAUCAACCUCACUUUCUGUUCAGACUCCUUAAUCAAAUCUGGUCCAAACAACUGACGGUCUCCAACUUCGUCCCAUAACAACGGUGUUCUACACCUCCUUCCGUACAAGGCUUCGAAAGGGGCCAUCUUCAAACUGGUUUGAUAACUGUUGUUAUAAGAAAACUCCGCAUAUGGCAAAUUGUCGUCCCAACUAGAUCCAUAAUCUAGUGCACAUGCUCUCAACAUGUCCUCCAAAAUCUGGUUGACUCUCUCGGUCUGUCCAUCUGUCUGCGGGUGAAAAGCUGUACUAAACUCUAGCCUGGUUCCCAAUGUUUCAUGUAACUGCUUCCAAAACUUUGAGGUAAAUUGGGUUCCUCUGUCUGAUACAAUGGUCCUCGGAACUCCAUGCAAACAUACGAUCCUGGUCAUGUAUAUCUUUGCCAACUUAGCACUGGUGUAAGUGGUCUUCACUGGAAUGAAAUGAGCCACUUUCGUCAAACGGUCGACUACAACCCAUAUUGAGUCAUAGCCUGAACGAGUCCUGGGUAAUCCUGUGAUAAAAUCCAUGCCUAUCUUAUCCCACUUCCAUUCGGGUAUCUGCAGUGGUUGUAGCAAUCCUGUUGGCUUCUGAUGCUCUGCCUUCACUCUCUGACAUACAUCACAAACUGCUACAUAUUCUGCAAUAUCCUUCUUCAUUCCGGUCCACCAGAAAGUAUUCUUCAAAUCCAAAUACAUCUUCGUAUUUCCUGGGUGAAUCGAGUACGGUGAAUCAUGGGCUUCUUGCAAAAUCAACUUCCUGAUCUCCGGAUCAUUCGGCACAUAUACGCGGUCCUCAAACCAUAAGGUAUCGUGCUCAUCCUCACGAAAUCCCUUGGCUUUUCCUUUGCUCAUCUUCUCCUUUAUCUCUUCAAUCUCCUUGUCUAUCUUCUGAGCUUCUCUGAUCCUUUCCUUCAAGGUAUACUGAAUCUCCAAUGUCGCUAAAUAGCCUCUUGGGACUAUCUCCAAACAUAGCUCGCGAAGGUCCUCGGCUAACUCCUGAGGUAACUCUCCUGUCAUGAGGGUGUUGACAUGACUCUUGCGGCUCAACGCGUCUGCUACUACGUUAGCCUUUCCUGGGUGAUAAUGCAAUCUCAUAUCAUAGUCCUUUAUGAGCUCCAACCAUCUCCUCUGUCUGAGAUUUAACUCCUUCUGUGUGAAAAUAUACUUCAAACUCUUGUGAGCCGUAUACACCUCACAAUGGUUUCCGAUGAGAAAAUGUCUCCAUGUCUUCAAUGCAUGCACCACGGCUGCUAACUCCAAAUCAUGCGUAGCAUAAUUCUUCUCAUGGGGUUUAAGUUGUCGUGAAGCAUAUGACACAACUCUUCCUUCCUGCAUAAGCACUGCUCCAAGUCCUCGACGAGAAGCGUCGCAAUAAACUUCAUAAUCCUUGCGUUGAUCUGGUAGAAUCAACACUGGUGAUGUAACCAAUUGUUUCUUCAACUCUUGGAAACUAGCUUCACAUUCCACAGUCCAAUUGAAUUUGGUGUCCUUCUUCAAUAGCUCAGUCAUGGGCUUAGCAAUCUUCGAGAAAUUCUCGAUGAAUCUCCGGUAGUAUCAUGCAAGUCCAAGAAAACUCCAGAUUUCUCCAACUGUCGUGGGUGAUUCCCAACUUGUCACUGUGUCAACCUUGGCAGGGUCCACUGCUAUUCCUUCUCCAGAAAUAACAUGUCCAAGGAAUCCAACUUCCUUCAGCCAAAAUUCACAUUUGCUGAACUUGGCAUAUAAUUGAUGUUCUCUGAGCUUCUCAAGUACCAAUCGUAAAUGCUCCUCAUGCUCUUCCUCAUUCUUGGAAAAGACUAAAAUAUCAUCAAUGAACACCACGACGAACUUAUCCAAAAACUCCAUAAACACUUUGUUCAUCAGGUUCAUAAAAUAGGCAGGUGCGUUAGUCAGACCAAAUGACAUAACGGUAUACUCAUACAAUCCAUAUCUGGUGGUAAAAGCCGUCUUAGGUAUAUCCUGCUCUUGAAUCUUUAACUGAUGGUAUCCCGAUCGUAGAUCGAUCUUGGAAAAUACUUUAGCUCCUUGUAGGCGGUCAAACAAAUCAUUGAUCAUUGGCAGUGGGUACUUGUUUUUGAUGGUCACUUCAUUCAAUCCACGGUAAUCAACAACCAUCCUCAGCGAUCCAUCUUUCUUCUCCACUAGAAGUACUGGUGAUCCCCAAGGUGACGAACUUGGGCGAAUAUAGCCUUUAUCCAGUAACUCCUUGAUCUGCUUCUUAAUUUCCUCCAAAUCCUUUGCGGGCAUCCUGUACGGUCUCUUAGAUAUUGGCCCUGUGCCUGGCAAAAGUUCAAUCAAGAACUCAAUGUCUCUAUCUGGUGGCAUGCCUGGCAACUCUUCUGGAAAUACAUCCGGAUAAUCCUUCACCACUGGUACUUCCUCCUGUACAACUCCUGAUAAGGAAUUCACUUGAGUCCUCUUCGGCAUAUGCCGGGAUACAUACUUGAUCCUUUUUUCCUUCCGGGGUGGUAAGCAAAAUCGUCUUGUUGGCACAAUCGAUGUUUCCUCCAUACAACGAUAGCCAAUCCAUUCCCAAAAUCACAUCCAAACCUUGCGACUCCAAAACUAUGAGGUCUGAGGGGAAACAUGCCUACCAAUGGCCAAUGGUAUCUGAAAACAUCCUUGGCUUGCCAUAUACUCUGCUCCUGGCGAGGUUACUAACAUAGGGGUUUUGAGAACUUGGGUGGACAUCUUAAACUUAUUCACAAAUCCCCUUGAUAUGUAUGAAUGCGAUGCACUAGUAUCGAAAAGAACGGUUGCAGUAAAUGACUUAACCAAAAACUUACCUAUUACUGCAUCAGGCUGAGCUUCAACAUCCUCCACGCUCACGUGGUUCACAUGUCCUUUGUUGAACGGGUUCGGCUUCUUCCCAGAGCUUCCAUUGCCAUUUCCAUUUUGGGCUUCAGGACAAUCAGUUGCAUAGUGUCUAGUCUUCUGGCACUUGAAACAAGUAAUAUGACUUAGAUCCCUCUUGGUUGGGGUAGAUGGGUUGGUACUGUUCUGUCCGUUGGUUCCUCCAUUCCCAUGUUCCUCCAUUCCCAUUACUAUUCUUAGAGCCAUUAUGGUUGUGCGAACUACCUCCUCCAUGGGUAUGCUGAAACUGUCCUCCCGGUUUCAGGGCAAAUCGUGGCUUCUGCUGAGCUCCAGAAUUGUACUUCCCUUGUCCAUACUUCCUCUUACGAUUUUCAAUCCGCUGUUGCUUUCCUUCAAUCAUGAGAGCUCUAUCUACCAGCUCCUGGUAGUUGUUGAAGGUUGCUACCAUCAACUACAUACUCAGUUCAUCAUUCAGUCCUUCCAGAAAUUGCUCCUGCUUGGCAGCAUCUGUAGCAACGUCAUCUGGUGCAUAACGUGCUAACUUACUGAAAUCCUCCACAUACUGGCCUACGGUGCGUCCUCCUUGGCGUAGGUUGCGAAACUCGCGCUUCUUCAUAGCCAUAGCUCCUGCUGAAACAUGAGCUGUACGGAAAGCUUGCUGAAACUGGUCCCAUGUGACAGUGUCAAUAGGGUGCGUGGCUGUAUAAUUCUCCCACCAUGAUGCCGCGGGUCCAUCAAGCUGAUGUGCGGCAAAACGCACUCUUUCCGCAUCUGUGCAUCCUGCAGUGGUCAACUCCCUUCCAACUUUGCGGAGCCAAUCAUCUGCAACAAUCGGCUCGGUGCUACUGGAAAACACCGGUAGGUUUAGCCUUAGGAAACGGGCUAAGUGAUCAACAUGUGGUGGUGGUGGUGGGUUGUUGUUGUUGUUGUUGCCUUGGUUCUGCACUAACACUUGCAUCCGGGCAUUCUGUUGCUGAAUCAACUGGGUGAUCUCUGGUAGGAAAACAAAUCCGGUGUCGCGUCUCGGAGGCAUCUGAUGGGUUUAGAAAAGAUGAGAGUUAAGAAUAGAAUGAGGUCUAGAGAGAAAACACUACCCAUAUGCUCAUGAGACAAAUACAAUCAAUAUCACUCAAUCAAUUCAAACAAGGCAAAACCAUCGAUCUAACUAGCGUUACAAAGUGCUUGAACUAUACUAUUAAAUGGGGGAAAACUACUACUGAUAUGGUGGUCUACUAGAAAUUCUGAUCCGUUGAAGACUCCAUGAUGUCUGCUCCAGCUUCAUCAACAAAGUCAUCUUCACUUGGUUCCGAGUCGGUGUCGUCGAUGAUGAUGUAGUUAUCCGGACAAGUGCAUUCGUCAACUUCUGCUUUUGGCACUGGAUUUCCCAUGAAUACUCCAAUCUUCUUCUCCAGGUCGUCAUUCUUCCCUACUAGUGCGAUGAUUUCCUCCAUAUAAUCCUCGCGUGUAGCUUUAAGUUCUUCUUGGAGCUCCUUGAUCUUCGUUAAUGCCUUCUUCAGUUCUUCCUUGUCCGUGCACAUCUGGUUCUCCUGGCGACGAAUAUGUUGGUUUUGCUCCUGGAUGAUAGCUGCGAUUGAUCCAUCCUUCUUGGUUCUGAUCAUCUCCCAUUGCGCGUCUCGGCGUCCACAAAUUUGAUAAAUAGUAUCCUUAAGCUCCUGGUGGUAGACUUCUCCAAUGCGUCCCAUAGCGAUGUGUGCGGCCAUGCUCUUCCCUAAACUCCAGGUUGGUGCUUCGAAAACCAAUCUUAUGGGUUCAGUAACUGGCACAAACGUCCUUCCUGGAAUGUGAACUUGAAUCUUCCAGCUCUCCUCUUCGGGUAAUGUGGCGUUGUAGGUUUCGGUGAUGCUUGGUAUUCCUAUGUUCAAGUACUUAGUGACUUCCUUCAAGUGUCGACCAAAAGGCGUGUCUUCAUCUGGUUGCAUGAACUUGCUCCUUGCAUCCGCCAUUCCUAAAAGAGUAGAAAAAGGAGAGGGGUCAGAAAUGAGAAGAGAGAAGCUUUCUAGGGCUUAAGCUUAGUGGUCAUGUCCUACAGUCAGCGUGUGCUCUGAUACCACCUUUUGUAGCGACCAGACCUCAAAUGGUCUGUGCUGCUGUGCACCAGUGUCAUCCCUGGAUCAGUAAUGCUGACACGCACAGUACAAAUGGAGGAUUUAUAACAGAGUAGCAAUCACACACUUAUUACAUCGAAUAUCUCCAAAGAGAUUAAGUAUGAAAAUAUGGCUUAAGGCCAUCUAAAAACGAUAACAGCGGAAGACUUGGAAGAUAAGUGAGUCCAUCAACUCCAGCGGCAUCACUGAGUAUAAGACCACGACCUAAGGCACCUUACUCGUCCUCUGAAAAGUCUGCAACAUGAAACGUUGCAGCCCGAAAACGGGUCAGCACAUAGAAUAUGCUGGCAAAGUAACACAUAGAGAGUAAUGAACAAUAAUAAUGCUAUACUACAUGCAUAUAUGGCUGGUGGAAAGCUCUAUGGUUACAUUUUAUGCGAAAAGCCAAUUUUUGCCUACUUCAAAGGAAUAAAUUUUAUUUAACUAUCAUGGUGGUUGUGAAACAUUGAGAUGGUUGACAGCAUCUCAAUCCCAAUUAAGAGUCAUCAAUAACCCCACAAAAUUAAUUAAAAGUAACAUGGUGAUGAGAUUCAUAUGAUAAUCCAGGUACUAGAUACUCAAGUUGCCCAUAACCGGGGACACGGCUAACCAUGGUUAGUUUGUACACUCUGCAGAGGUUUGUGCACUUUUCCCCACAAGACUCGAUCGCCUCCGCGUGAUUCUCGCACUGCAUGAUGUUUGAGAAACGGAUGACCGAGACACAGUCUUUCAGGAACAAUCACUCUUUACUCUGGGUGGACCGGUACACCUACUUUCCCCUACAUCUGCUAGCCCACCUCUUCAAGAGAUCUUGUAACCUACUCAACUAUGCUAGAGCCCAUAAUAGCUUGUGGCUGCACACGGAAGUUUCUAGCAUGAAUAAUCUUAUGAUCCCUUUGAGCCUGGGUGGCGGUCCUUAUACAAACAGACAACACUGGAUUCUCGAGGUGCCUCAAUCCACCCAGAUGUGAGUUUUAGUUGCCACCUUAGGUAAACCAUUAUUAUCAAUAUCACAUCUGUCAUGAAUAUCUCUCAAACCCAAUCCACGUCUACGAGCAUAGCAUGACAAUAUAAUAGCAACGUAGAGGUAACUCCCAAGGGUUUGAUAAGAAAACAGGUAAUAGGUACUACCUCAACUACUUCCCAAUACCCACAAUUUAAUUAGAUCCUAGUCAUGCAAUGUUUGAGGAAUAGACCUAAUGCAAUAAAAACUGGGUAUGGAAGGUAUAUGAUCAAAGUGUUACUUGCCUUGCUGAUGAUCCGCGAAACCUAGCGAUUCGAAGUAACAAACGGCACACUCCGGGUACUCUAUCGCAAACAAACAAGCAAACAAUAAGUACUCAUCUAAUGCACAGGUAAAACUCUAAUGAAAGAUCCAACCAGAAAGUUCAACUUAAGAACUCCGGUUUGCAAAAAGAAUCAACUCGAACGAAGGAACGAAAGUCAAACGGCGAAAGAAACAAGCUUCGUUUACUAAUCUGGAUCUAGGUCAAAUUUUACAGUAGCAAAAACUUGUUUGAGUAGGUUAAACGGAAAGAGAAUUUCGAGACGAAACUCUAGGCGCUUGAAUCGCCUGAUUCCGAUAAACGAGCGAAAAGUUAAACAUAAACGAAGAUUUGAUCGGAAAUCGAAUCUGAGAUAAUCGCGGAAAAAUCCGACGAAAAAGAAAAACGGACGAACGGUUAAAGAACGGACGUUCGUUAACAGAGAAAAACCGACGAACGCGUUCGUUAAAACGAACGGUUCGGUGAACGUUCACAAAAUAACAAAACCGAAAAAACCGAUCUAGGGUUUUUUUUAAACGAGCGUUUUAAAAAAAAAAAACAAAACCGGCAAAACGAGGCGAGGUCUACCUCGUCGGGACAGAGCUCCGGCGGGGCUCCCNNNNNNNNNNNNNNNNNNNNNNNNNNNNNNNNNNNNNNNNNNNNNNNNNNNNNNNNNNNNNNNNNNNNNNNNNNNNNNNNNNNNNNNNNNNNNNNNNNNNNNNNNNNNNNNNNNNNNNNNNNNNNNNNNNNNNNNNNNNNNNNNNNNNNNNNNNNNNNNNNNNNNNNNNNNNNNNNNNNNNNNNNNNNNNNNNNNNNNNNNNNNNNNNNNNNNNNNNNNNNNNNNNNNNNNNNNNNNNNNNNNNNNNNNNNNNNNNNNNNNNNNNNNNNNNNNNNNNNNNNNNNNNNNNNNNNNNNNNNNNNNNNNNNNNNNNNNNNNNNNNNNNNNNNNNNNNNNNNNNNNNNNNNNNNNNNNNNNNNNNNNNNNNNNNNNNNNNNNNNNNNNNNNNNNNNNNNNNNNNNNNNNNNNNNNNNNNNNNNNNNNNNNNNNNNNNNNNNNNNNNNNNNNNNNNNNNNNNNNNNNNNNNNNNNNNNNNNNNNNNNNNNNNNNNNNNNNNNNNNNNNNNNNNNNNNNNNNNNNNNNNNNNNNNNNNNNNNNNNNNNNNNNGGAGGAGGCAGGGGGUAUAUAUAGAAGGGGGGGGGGUUCGGCGGCUUGGGGAAGGGGCACCGGGGUUCCCGUGCUCGCCAUGGACACCGGGCGGCGGCGGGCGUCGUCGCGGGGAAGGAGACGGCGGGCGGGCCGGUGGCCCGGCUCGGCUGGGCUCGGCCCAGUCGGGCGCGGCGAAUUUUUUUUUAAAUACGUUCCGCGGAAAAAUUCAUACAAAAAUAAAUGAAAGUCCAAAAAAGAUAAAACAAAUUUUCCCCGUCUAGUUAGAAAAUCUAGAAUAGGGUGAACAUUUUUUUGACACAAAAUAAUUUUUUGAAAACAUGCAAUAUUUUUAAUGCAAUUAAAAUUGCAAAUAAAAUCCGAAUAAAUUCCAAUAAAUGAUUUUAACACUUUUCCUCUAGUAUUUCAAUUGUUUUGGAGAAGUCAUAUUUUCUCCUCUCAUUUAUUUUUAAAUGAAAUAUUUUUUCGGAGAGAAAAUAAUUAAAACCAAAAUCCUCGUUUUAUAAUUUGAUGAAAAUCAAAUAUGAAAAUUCGAGAAAAUCCCCAACUCUCUCCGAGGGUCCUUGAGUUGCUUAGGAUUUAUCGAGGAUUUGUCAAAAUGCAAUAAAAUAUGAUAUGCAAUGAUGAUCUAUGUAUAACAUACCAAAUUGAAAAUUUGGGAUGUUACACCAGUAACUCGAACACUACAUCAAGACAUGACUUUGGGGUUGUCUCAGUGUCUUCAAUAUAGUUUUUAUCAGCUUUCUUGGAGACCAACAGGGAUGUCUCACUAUCUUGAACCUUAUCUGCAUUACUUCCUUUACCAUUGCAUAACUGGGUACUCUUCUCCAAUAUUUUAUCCGCGUUCUAAAAGAGAAACAAACAAACACAUCUCAGGUUUACAAUGUAGUAUAUGAAACUCAUUUUGGUAAACCAGUUCAGUAGAAAGGUGGACAGGAUAACAGCAUGAAACAAACAUAUAUCUAUGUAGUAUGGUCACUGUAUGGUCUAUAUCAUUCUAGUUUAUGUUGCCAAAUCAAGAUAGAUACAGUUCGAAUCAUAUCUAUUUAAGACAAAGCAGCAUAGACAGAAUAUAAGUGUGGGAAAGUACACAACAACAACAACACUUGUAAUGUGCAUGGCAUGAGAACAUAACUAUUUAUUCAAUUGAAACUGAAAUCAACAUAGAGAAAGUUACAACAGCAAACAACCAAACACGUUGAAGAAACAGGUUUAAAACAUACCUGUUGCGCCAUUGGAGUUUCAAUUGCAUCCUUCAUAUUUGAAAUUAGUUGGUAUCAGUAAAUACAGUGAUGCAAGAGCAAAGUAGUAUGAACCAUAGCUACGGAACCUGACCUGAGAACAAUUCUUCUUCUGCUUUAAGCGUUGACUUCAGGUUCGGAGUGGUGGUCCUCGUGAUUUGGGCACUGCAGUUGCCUUACUAACUGCUCGUGUUUGGGUGCUCUGUGGUGGAGACGGUGCUGUGUCAACGGGAACUGGGUGUCUAUCUGCCGGGGUUGGGGUUAGAAGGGGUGUAGCUGGUUCUCUGUCCAACUGGGUAGGGGUACAAUCUGCAUGAGUGUGGGUUAUGUGUGGUGGGGCUGGUUCUUGGGCAAGUACAACCGUGGUUCUAUCUGCAUCGACAGGUAGCACGAUCUUUUCUGAAGACCGUGUUUUUACUCCCACAGAUACUGCCAUCACUCCCUCCAAUUGAAAUGGCUGAUAAACAAGAAAAGUAAUUGAAUGUACAGACAUUGUAAGAUAGACAGGUGCAAUGGAUAGUAGGGAAGAAAACAGAGCAUGAAAUAAUUCACAUUUAUGUUGUCUAAGAAAACAGAAUAGCAGGACAUAAUUUCACAUAUAUGAUGGCUAAUUAAACAGGAUAGCAUGACACAAUUUCACAUGUAUGAUGGCUAACUAAACAGGAUAGAAUGACAUACUUCAAAAUAUGAUGACUAUGUAAACAUGAUGACAUGAUAUAACUAUACGAUGUGUCUAUUAAAGUGGUUGGCAUGCCAUAAAUCACAAACAUGCCGUCGAUGGAAACAUGAUGACAUGAUAUAAUUCACGGAUAGAAUGACAUAAUUCAAAAUAUGAUGACUAUGUAAACAGGAUGAGAUGAUAUAACUAUAUUAUGUCUUUAGAAAAUGGGUUGGCAUGCCAUAAUUCAGAUACAUGCUGUCUAUGUAAACAUCAUGGCAUGACAUAAUUCAAAUAUAUGAUUUAUAUACUAAGGAAGUGAGCAGAGGGCAAUCGCAUAUAUGAUGUGUCAACUAAGGAGAUGGCAUUCAAUAUUGUGUAUAUGAUGUAAAAACUAAGCAUUGCAAUACAACAUAUGCAUUAUAUGAGUAAUAUAACCCUGCCAAGUUUGAGCAUACACCUCAGGGGGAUAAUAGGACUGGUCAUCUGCCUCUGAAUCCUCCUCUGAAGAGCUAUCUGUAACCAACAAGAUAUCUGCUUCAGCAUGUAGCAUUGUCUGCUCUGAAGACCUUGUUUUCACUCCAGAUUUCUCCAUCACCAAUUCAAAUGGCUGAUGCACAGGAAGAGCAGUUGAAUAUACAAACAUUGUCGACAAAAGCAAUGAGAAAUACAAAAAAAAGGACGGCAUGAUAUAAUUCACAUAUAUGACGCUUGCCUAAACAGCAUGGCAUUGCAUAAUUCACAUACAUAAUGCCUUGCAACAAGAUAACAUUGCAUAAUUCACAUAUAUAAUGUCUUGCAACAAGAUGGCAUUGCAUAAUUCACAUAUAUGGUAAUUAGACACUAAACAGGUGGCAUUCACACAAAGCAUGUCUAAACUAAGCAAAUGGCAUAGCAAUGCAGGAUACCAUACGCACGAUAUGAGCAACAUAACCCUGCCAAGUUAGGGCAUGCACCUCGGGGGGGAAAUAUGACUGGUCAUCUGUCUCUGAAUCCUCCUCUGAGGAGCUAUGGGUAACCAGCAAGACAUGCGCUUCGUCAGAUAGCAUUGUCUGCUCUGAAGACCUUGUUUCCACUCCAGAUUUUUCCAUGACCGUGCCGAAUGGCUGAUGCACAGGAAGAGUAAUUGAAUGUACUAAAAUUGUUGACAAAUUUAACACGUAAUAAAAAAAUGAUGGCAUGAUAUAAUUCACAUAUAAGAUGACUGGCUAACCAGGGUGGCAUUGCAAAAUUCACAUAUAUGAUGCCUGGCUAGACAAGAUGGCAUUGCAUGAUUCACAUAUACGAUAAAGAAACUAAACAGAUGGCAUUGACACAAAGCAUGUCUAAACUAAGCAGAUGACAUCUUUAAUGUAUACAGUAAGCAAUGCAAGGCACCAUAUGCAUGAUAUUACCAACAUCAGCAUGCCAAGUUAGAGCGAAGACCUCAUGCGGUAAAUAGGAGUGGUCUUCUCCUUCUGAAUCCCCCUCAGAACAGUUAUCUUCCUCUUGAUUACGAUCCGAAAUGGGUGGAGGGGGGGCUGCCUUUGCGCCCACCAUGGAACGACGUCUUCAUGAAAUUUUAUUGCCACGCAAGGCUCGUCUCUUUUGCUCUACAUGAUCACUUCCAUUGUGUACAAUAACUAGCAUGCAUAGGAAUAAAACAUAGUGAGAUUAUGUAAGGAGUGCAUGCAAAAAUCCAGAGUGAUGGUAGCAAACUAUGGAUAGACCCAAAACCAAUGAUAGCAGGCAGAUAAUAGCUUUAGUUAAAAAAUACAGAUAAUGGCUCCUUUAAUGUUUGUUUGCACCCAACAUGAAACUCAUAGUAGACACCAGAGAUUAACCAAAUAGUAGACAGAUAGUACUGAUUGCUGCCCCAAUAUGUACCCCACAACCAUUUAAAAACUCAAGUUUCAGCAUUAGUUUGGACCUGACUCGGAGUCUAAUAGGUGAACACGAUGAUAAUGUAGCAUGUCAUCAUAUUAAGCGACGCAUAACGUAAGCAGACACGGAAGAGUGCGACCUCUCUUGCGGACCCGUGUAGUCCUCAAGGUCAUCUGCUCAGUUGAUGAUGGUAAUGCAGUUGCCGUGGCUGCCGGCGGCGGGGAAGAAGAUCUGAGGCGGCGAAAGAUAGUCUGGAGAGCGGAUCCCUGCUGUGGUGAACCCUUCCGUCAUUGGAGCAGCUGAGCUGGGGUGGAACACAGUGCCGCAGGAGCAGGACAAACCACACAAGGUUUGCUUUGACACAUAUCUGUAACAGAAGUAAUUGAGUAAGGGCUUGUUUGAAUUUGAGGAUUCUAACAAUGCAGGGAUAGGAAAUAUACAGGAAUAGGAUAGGAAUGCACGUGCAAAACAAAGAAUUUAAAAACACAGGAUUUCUGCCAAUCUGGGUGUUUGAUUCACAACAAUUGGAAGAUCACAGGAUGCAAAAAAGCAUGGUGAGAUUAAUUCAAACCACAAGAAAAUGUAAGGUUAUAAUGCUAUUAUGCUACUAUCUAUUAGUCUUGUGCUUGAUGAAUAGGAAUAUGAAAAGGAGGAGAAGUGGAAAUUAGAAUUCCUACGGUUUUUCUUUCAAGGAACAAACCCUACAGUUUUCCUUUGCUCCAUUCCUUUGCACCAAAUUCAUGAAAAGUAGUACCAUAGGAAACUUUCCAAUUCCGAUGUUUUUCAUUCACUUUUCCUUUCAAGCACUGGCGAUUCUAGUAGGCAGGCUUGAGCAAGGAAAAUCCUACACUAAAAAAAUGUUUUUGUGCUACUUCUAUUACUUUGGACCCAGGCCACUGCCAUACUAGCUCAACUCCCAGGCCCAUCGACAAAUGCAUAGAUCAAACGCGCAGAGAUAAAUAAUGAUGGCGUUCAAGAGAGUCCAUCACGGAUAGCUAAGUUGCCUGGUACCUCACUGCUUGUCAUAUAGUAGGAUAAAAUAAUCGUAUUUCCCGUUACUACGAGUGCUCAGUGGACAAUAUAUAUAUAACAUGUAGAGUAAAAAAGAGAUGCAACAAGUGUACAACCUCUUUGGCGAAGCCAUGUCGAUCUCAGCGUGAUUGGGUUGGCCGGUGAGGAUGCUCCGGCUGACUUGGCUGUCGGAGGAGGGGAAGAAGAUCUUAGGCGUCUGGAGAUGGAGCCCGAGGUACUGCUCCCCUGUGAUGGAGGGUUUCGUCGUUGGAGCAGCUCCGGUGAGUUGUACGACGCCGAGGCUGAAGCAGGACAAGAGAGACAACGAACAACGUUAACCUGAGUGGAAUUCUAAUAGCAUCUCCAAUACAUGACGUAAAAUACAUAACCACAAAGUGCUAGAUGUAAAAUAUAUCAGCCGCUCAUCUCUGAACUUAACUGUCGAAACUGUAGCGACCCGACCCGAAUGGAUCAAGUCUCUGUGCUUAAGUGUCAUCCCUGGAUCGGUAUGCUGACACACACAGUACGCGAGGAUUUAUAACAGAGGUAAAUCACAUGUAUAAAGUAACGUAAAUACUAUUACCUCAAUCCAAAUAGCGAAAGUAACAAGGUUGUGGAUUCCCAUCAACACCAACGGCAAAGUUGAGUGUAGAAAUCGUAACCCUAACGUAUCACUUACUCGUCGUAAGAAUCCUGCAACAUGAAACGUUGCAGCCCGAAAACGGGUCAGCACAUGGAAUAUGCUGGCAAUGUAACACAUAGAGAAUAAUGAACAUAGUAAUGCUAUACUACAUGCAUAUAUGGCUGGUGGAAAGCUCUAUGGUUACUGUUUUUGCGAAAAGCCAAUUUUUCCCUACUUCAAAGGAAUACAUUUUAUUUAACUAUCAUGGUGGUUGUGAAACAUUGAGAUGGUUGACAGCAUCUCAAUCCCAAUUAAGUGUCAUCAAUAACCCAACAAAAUUAAUUAAAAGUAACAUGGUGAUGAGAUCAACGGGAUAAUCCAAGAACUAGAUACUCAAGAUGUCCAUAACCGGGGACACGGCUAACCUUGAUUAGUUUGUACACUCUGCAGAGGUUUGUGCACUUUUCCCCACAAGACUCGAUCGCCUCCAUUUGAUUUCUCGCACUACAUGAUGUUUGAGAAACGGAUGGCCGAGACACAGUCUUUCCGAAGAGGUCCCCUUAACCGAUAGAUAGGCCGGUACACCUACAAUCCCCUAGAUCUGCUAGCCCAUCAUGGAAAGGUUUCCCACAACUUACUCAACUAUGCUAGAGCCCAUAAUAGCUUACGGCUACACACGGAAGUUUCUAGCAUGAAUAAUCUUAUGAUCCCUUUGAGCCUGGGUGGCGGUCCUUAUACAAACAGACAACACUGGGUUCUCCAAGUGCCUCAAUCCACCCAGAUGUGAGUUUUAGUUGCCACCUUAGGUAAACCAUUAUUAACAAUCUCACAUCUGUCAUGAAUAUCACUCAAACCCAAUCCACGUCUACGAGCAUAGCAUGGCAAUAUAAUAGCAACGUAGAAGUAACUCCCAAGGGUUUGAUAAAUGAAACAGGUAAUAGGUACUACCUCAACUACUUCCCAAUACCCACAAUUUAAUUAGGUCCUAACCAUGCAAUGUUUGAGGGUUGAAUCUAAUGCAUAAAAACUGGGUAUGAAAGGGAUAUGAUCAAAGUGUUACUUGCCUGCAAGGUUGAUGAAGAUGAUUCACACUCAACACUCUUGAUAGAUCUACUCGUCACACUCCGGUCAAUCUAUCGUAAGCAAGCAGUAGCAACCAUACAUAAGCAAUCACUCAAGAUCAGAAAGAUCGAAGAAAACAAUUCGGAAAACUUCAAAACCAAGCAAAUAACUCUUGCAACAUAAAACAAUUUCUAACAGCACCAAAAUUAUGUGAAUUUGGCCUUAUCAGAAAGUUUAGGUCAAGAGCUUCGAUUUGCAAAAAGAAUCAACUCAAACGGAGUUACGGAACUCAAGUUAUGAACAAAAGAAGUUUGAAUACAAAUCUGUUUGAAUUCAAAUUUUAAAACUUUCAAAAACAUGUUUAAGUUGUUUUACUGGAUAGAGGGGAUCAUAACGAAGACGUGGGCAUUGGUUUCGUUGGAUUUGGACAAACGGUUGAAAAGUUGUGAUCAUUUGAAAACCAGGGGCUAAUCUGCAAAUAAAAUAUUUACGGAUAGGUCCCUGACGUAAAACUAACAGAAAAAGAAAAGGACUAAAUAACGAACGUUCGUUUUCUAACCCUAACCAGCGAACGUUCACUAAAUAACUAGAUUAAAAGAAAAACCGGGUUUUAAAACAGAAAACCGAAAAAAACCUAAACCCUAAACGAAAUAAACCGGGCCUGGCGGUUUACCGGAUCAGCGGUUCGGGCAAGAAAACCGAACGGCGACGGUCGACGGCAGCAGCGGCUCCGGCGACGGUUGGCGGUGGCGGAGAGGUGCGGCGAGGCAGCGAGGUCACAGCGGCGGGCAACGGCGGUGUGGGCGGCGGAUCCANNNNNNNNNNNNNNNNNNNNNNNNNNNNNNNNNNNNNNNNNNNNNNNNNNNNNNNNNNNNNNNNNNNNNNNNNNNNNNNNNNNNNNNNNNNNNNNNNNNNNNNNNNNNNNNNNNNNNNNNNNNNNNNNNNNNNNNNNNNNNNNNNNNNNNNNNNNNNNNNNNNNNNNNNNNNNNNNNNNNNNNNNNNNNNNNNNNNNNNNNNNNNNNNNNNNNNNNNNNNNNNNNNNNNNNNNNNNNNNNNNNNNNNNNNNNNNNNNNNNNNNNNNNNNNNNNNNNNNNNNNNNNNNNNNNNNNNNNNNNNNNNNNNNNNNNNNNNNNNNNNNNNNNNNNNNNNNNNNNNNNNNNNNNNNNNNNNNNNNNNNNNNNNNNNNNNNNNNNNNNNNNNNNNNNNNNNNNNNNNNNNNNNNNNNNNNNNNNNNNNNNNNNNNNNNNNNNNNNNNNNNNNNNNNNNNNNNNNNNNNNNNNNNNNNNNNNNNNNNNNNNNNNNNNNNNNNNNNNNNNNNNNNNNNNNNNNNNNNNNNNNNNNNNNNNNNNNNNNNNNNNNNNNNNNNNNNNNNNNNNNNNNNNNNNNNNNNNGGCGGCAGGCGAGCUCCGGCGCGGCGCGGCUUGCGGCGGGAGGGCGGCGGCGCGGGGAGAGAGAGAGAGGGGCCCGGGGCGACGCUAUUUAAGGGGGGAGGGGCGGCGCGGUGGCGUGCGGGAGGGGGCAGGAGAGGAUGAGUCCGGCGGGGAGACGGCUCCGGCGAGCCGUGGCGGCGGCGGACUCCCGCCUGGAGUCGGUCGCGCGGGGGUGACGGGGCGGCACGCUGGGCUGGGCUGGCCUGGCGGCUAGCGGGGGCCGUCCAGUUCGGCGGUGAAGAGAUUUUUUUUAAAACUCCGACAAACAAAAUAAAAACAAAUAAAAAUAAAAAUAUUAUAUAGGCAUAUAAUAUAUCAAAAUUAUCAGCAAAAGAUUUCCUACAGCGUGAACAUUUUUGUAAAGUCAAAUAAAAUCAACACAAAUUUUAAUAAAUCAAACAGUGCUACUGCCUUAAUAAAAUCCAAUAAAAAUAAUUUUAAAAAUACCAUAAUGAUUUCAAAUUUAUUUCUCUCCAAUUUUCUGAUGUAGAGAAUCAUGUUACCCUAUUUUCUGUAUAUUUUAUUUUUUGGAGAAAAAUAAUUUGAAUAAAACUCAAAUAACUCCAAUAUUGAAAAAUAAUUGCAAUGGGACUUUGAAUAAAUCCUUUGAAACUCCCAACUCAUAUUUCAUUUGUUUUGAAGAAGUCAUUUUAUCCUCUCUCGUGAAAAUCAUUGAGUUGCAUAAAGUUUCAGAAUUGGAAAUAUUCUCAAAUGAAAUUCAAAUAUUUUCAACACCCCUUUUCAUUUAAAUAAAUGGAAGAAGUCAUGUCAUCUUCUCUCCACGGUUUUGUGGUGAAAAGAAUUUGAAUUCAUGGAGAUCAUAAAAGCAAAAUGAAAGUUUGGGAAAGUCCUUUUAUUCCCUCUCAUUUAACUUUCAAAAGAUUUCGAAUUUCACUCACUUUCAGUCAAUCAAUCACACAACAAACCAACAAACAAUCAAUUCUAUCUAUUUAUUAUAACAUUCCAAAAUUUAGAAUUUUGGGAUGUUACAAACCUACCACCCUUAAAAUGAAUCUCGUCCUCGAGAUUCGGAGAGGCUAGAAAGAAAUAGGUUAGGUUUGGGGUCUCCUCAAAAUCCAUCGAUCAUCUCAGGGGUCUGGGGGGCUACCACCCUUAGAAUCAUUGUUACGGUUCCACCAAAACUCGUAUACUCCAUCCUUGUUGUUGACAGUGUCAGUCUUCUCAGAUUCUCGGAAAAAUUCCUUCUCUGGCUCUUUGGGUAGCGGCAUAACCUUUUCCUCAAUUCUUCUGUCUUUCAUCUUGGUAAGGUUAUUCCAUGACUGGGUCUUCUUAGCUGAUGGGUCAGGCGCCAAUACUAAACAACUAUCGACAUCUCCUGGUGGUCAACAAUUUAUGGUUUUCCUGCAGAAAAUGGGUCUGGGUUGAUCCUCACUGUAUAACCUACGAUUGGCAACAACUGCCGUGUACAAGGGAAACAUUCUUAUACCAUUCUAAGGUUCAAACAAGGUUUAAUACCGUCGUCUCUCUACUAUAGGUAGGUCACUCAGAUUUACCAUCCCAUAUAGCAAAGCGAACAAUAAGAGUAAGUCGGUAUGGUGAUCAAUCCAUCCCGCACCCAAAUCAUUACCUUGUACAUGGUUUAGCGAAUCUGUCAUUCUAACACUCGGUCAUCCUCGCAAGCAUUGCAGAAUUUCUCUUGUCGACGAACCAAGUUCGGAUAAAUCCAUGGAUUCUGCAAGCCAAACAAACAUCUAUCGUUCCUUCACAACUCUCAGGUUUUUGCGUAACUCCUAUAAGAUCGUUUAUCGAUAAAAUCGUAACUUCUUCCGGGGUCUUUCCUUCAGCAAGAAUGUGCUUGCUUCUUGGCAGGUCCUGGGGCCUGUGGGUUAUGGGCCCACCUCAUCACUUGUAAACCUUGAACUCAUCAUCGGGCAACUGAUCCUUAAUCCAACAUCCAACUUCCUGGUAUUCUUAAAUCCAUCCAAUUGUACUGUCUUCCUUCCUUCUAUUGGCACCAAACUAGGACAUGAUUACUCAGACUCAUCAUGGAAUUUCCAUUGAUACAUAUUUCCAACAUCAUACCUCCUUUAUAUCCAAUAGUAAUUUAUCUCUUCAUCCUCGUGGAUAUCUCACAUACUGAGAUAAAAAAAUACUUAUACUUAUGAAGUCCAUACUCCACUUCAUCGAACAUCAUUAUCCUUUCCAGGGUCAAGCGUCCUUACAGGGGAAUAUUGGCCAUCUCUGCAUGGCACUUCUUCAACUGGGAAACGUGAAACACAUCAUAAACUCCUGACAGUCCUUCGGGUGACUCUAGCUUGUUGGCCGUUUCACCCAUACGCUCCAAAACUCGGUAUGGUCCUACAAAUCUCGGGGCUAACUUUCCCUUAACUCCAAAUAGUUUAACUCCUCGCAGAGGGAACACACGAAGACAUGCUCCGUCUCCAAUUUCAUAGACUACCUCCUUUACAUCCAAUAAUACUCCAUACCCUCAUAUUCUUGGGGUAUCCAACAUGUCAAGAUAAAACUCAUACUUAUUUAGUUCGAAAUCCACUUCGUGGAAUAUCAUUACCUUUUUCCAAGGGUCAAGUUUCCUCACAGGGUACUACAACCUUAAAAAUGCACAAUCUUCCAUAGACCAAAUUUCUCAUAUCCUCGAAAAUGGUCAGAAUCUUUCUUCAUAGAGUAACAACGCAUAGAAUCCAAAUCAAUACCAAUGAUGCUAACAUUAUUAAUUCUCAAAUUAUUACAAUCUCCUGCAUGCCAUUACAUGCCUCAAUCCGACAUCUCACUAAUAAAAGAAAUGUCCACACUACUACUACUAUAUUUCUCGUUCCGCUCAACUAUUUGUCACAAGUCUCCGUCUCCUUGGGGCAUUCUCUGGCAAAGUGCCCUGCUUCAUCACAACGGAAACAUAUUACUCCUGACAUAUCUCGAGGUUUCCUUGUGGUUAUAUAGCCUCCUGGGGUCCUCAUCUUCCCUUUUGGGCAAUCAUUGUGGUAGUGUCCUGAAUUUUUGCACCUGAAACAUGUGAUAUGACUCAGGUCUCUCUUUGUAGAAAUUGGGUUGUUCCUGGGAUCCAAUCUACUUCUCUUCCUGGAUUUUUCCGUUCCAAUCAGGGAUUCUAUUUCCUGUGGGUCAUACUCUACUUCCUCUAUCGGGAAUUCUACUAAAUCCCCAUUCAAACAAUUUUGGGAGAUGUGUCCUUCUUUUCCACAUGAAUAGCAUGACUUGGUGCAGUGUUUAAUUGGUUCUUCUUUGGGUGUGUCCUCCACCUCUUCCUUCAUCACAGAUUCCUCUAAACUUUCCAUGAGGGCUCUUUUCAUUGCUUCUUUCUUCUGCUGGAUAGUCCUUUGUACCAUGGGGUAUGUGACAGUGAGCAGGGUAGUGGGUAGUCCCUUCACACAAGAAAUAAGUGAUCUGCCUAGUUGGGCAUUCUUCAGCUGGGUGACUUCCUUCACAAUUAGGGCAUUCAUCCUUGUGUUCCUUAUGGUUGUGGCCUAUUUCUCCACAAGGCUUGUAUGCACAAGGUUUCUUCAUAUCCUUUCCAUAAGGCUUAAAUUUCUGGGACACAAGACGAGAUCUUUGUAGAGUCCACUUAAAUUCCUACCAAGUGGUUACUUCUUGCCAUCCAUUGAUGGUUUGGUACAUCCUCCACCAAGUAGCAGCACCUCUUUCAAAACAUUGACGAGCAUGCCGGGUCAUAUCCUUUCCGACUAUAGGGUUAUUCUUCAUGUGAUCCUCCAUGUUCUGAAUCCAUCGGUCCGUCUCCAUUUGACUCAUCGGUCCAGAAAAUACAAGCUCAUCUCCAUUCAUCCUCUAUUGGGUCCAUGGGUUUGGGGUGAGAUAAGAGAGGUCGAGAGGGAUGCACACAAUACAAACAAAUUUUUGAAAAGACAGAUUUUUAUUGUGGCUGUCGGAAAAACAACAAACAAAUGACAGCUCACAAACGUCGCAUCUAACGUAGGUAUAACAAGGGGUUUGGUCUUCUAAAGGUCAACAAAUCUUCAACGUCGCCAAACUCUUCAAGUCUUGUUAAUGUCUCCGAUGGCUUCUUCCAAUCAUGCUUGUCCUUCUCAGGUUCUUUUGCCAAAUCAUCUCUGUUGACGCGAAGUCACUCGUGACGUCCUUUAAUAUUUCUGGAGUUGCGCUCCAACUUCUGGGUCUCAAUAUCCUUGACAUGAACCAUGAUCCUACUGUCCUUCAGUUCCUGACGAGUCUCCGUUAUCUCGAGGUUUUGCUUUCCCAGCUUGGCUACUUUCAGUUUCUGGGUUCUGAGUUCUUCACGAAACACUUCUUUGUCAAAAACUUCUUGAUGUAAUACUCCAGAUCCUGGUGAUACACCGGUCUAAAGUUAAAACUUCAUCUUGCUGAGAGGUGCUCCAUCAGCCUUCUACCAUCCAAUCCUUCCAUGCAUCUGUAUGCUUAACUCCGCACGGUGACAAUAGCAUAAACGGGUAAUAACACCAUGGGUAUCCGUGUUUAUGCCCAUGUUACUGCCAUGAGCUUUCAUUCCAUAGUUGAUAUCUCCUUCCUUAGGGUUUCCUUGACAAAACUUUGAGUUUCUAACUCUCCAUGUUUCGGUCUUUCUGCGAUACACCUUGCUCUCGAGUAUUGACAGCUUCCAUAGUCCGUCAAGUUCCAUAAAGGUAACCUUCCUAGGUCAUACACAUCUGGCAAUUCUUCAGAGCCUUCAAAUUCUCCCAGUCUUCGGAAUCUUCAACCGUUGUAGUUUCCAUUAUCAUAAUGCACGGUAAAGAUCCUCUUUAUUCCGAAUGGUCUUAGUUGUCCGAUAUCUUGUACUUCUUGAAGUGGUCUCAUCAGUCGAAUCUUCGAGUGGUCAAAAGGGAAAAGGGAUAUGGUCUCACUAAAGGGAAUAUUUGAAUUAACUCAAAAGAGAAGAGAGGUACAAGAUUCUUUUGAAAAGAAAAGUUUUAGAGAAAAUCCUUCCUAUGGGCUUGCCAGUUUCUAGGGUCACGUCCUACAGUCAACAUGUGCUCUGAUACCAUCUUGUAGCGACCCGACCCGAAUGGAUCAAGUCUCUGUGCUUAAGUGUCAUCCCUGGAUCGGUAUGCUGACACACACAGUACUCGAGGAUUUAUAACAGAGGUAAAUCACAUGUAUAAAGUACCGUAAUUACUAUUACCUCAAUCCAAAUAGCGGAAGUAACAAGGUUGUGGAUUCCCAUCAACACCAACGGCAAAGUUGAGUGUAGAAAUCGUAACCCUAACGUAUCACUUACUCGUCGUAAGAAUCCUGCAACAUGAAACGUUGUAGCCCAAAAACGGGUCAGCACAUGGAAUAUGCUGGCAAUGUAACACAUAGAGAAUAAUGAACAUAGUAAUGCUAUACUACAUGCAUAUAUGGGUGGUGGAAAGCUCUAUGGUUACUGUUUUUGCGAAAAGCCAAUUUUUCCCUACUUCAAAGGAAUACAUUUUAUUUAACUAUCAUGGUGGUUGUGAAACAUUGAGAUGGUUGACAGCAUCUCAAUCCCAAUUAAGUGUCAUCAAUAACCCAACAAAAUUAAUUAAAAGUAACAUGGUGAUGAGAUCAACGGGAUAAUCCAAGAACUAUAUACUCAAGAUGUCCAUAACCGGGGACACGGCUAACCAUGAUUAGUUUGUACACUCUGCAGAGGUUUGUGCACUUUUCCCCACAAGACUCGAUCGCCUCCGUUUGAUUUCUCGCACUACAUGAUGUUUGAGAAACGGAUGACCGAGACACAGUCUUUCCGAAGAGGUCCCCAUAACCGAUAGAUAGGCCGGUACACCUACAAUCCCCUACAUCUGCUAGCCCAUCAUGGAAAGGUUUCCCACAACUUACUCAACUAUGCUAGAGCCCAUAAUAGCUUGCGGCUGCACACGGAAGUUUCUAGCAUGAAUAAUCUUAUGAUCCCUUUGAGUCUGGGUGGCGGUCCUUAUACAAACAGACAACACUGGGUUCUCCAGGUGCCUCAAUCCACCCAGAUGUGAGUUUUAGUUGCCACCUUAGGUAAACCAUUAUUAACAAUCUCACAUCUGUCAUGAAUAUCACUCAAACCCAAUCCACGUCUACGAGCAUAGCAUGGCAAUAUAAUAGCAACGUAGAAGUAACUCCCAAGGGUUUGAUAAAUGAAACAGGUAAUAGGUACUACCUCAACUAUUUCCCAAUACCCACAAUUUAAUUAGGUCCUAACCAUGCAAUGUUUGAGGGUUGAAUCUAAUGCAUAAAAACUGGGUAUGAAAGGGAUAUGAUCAAAGUGUUACUUGCCUGCAAGGUUGAUGAAGAUGAUUCACACUCAACACUCUUGAUAGAUCUACUCGUCACACUCCGGUCAAUCUAUCGUAAGCAAGCAGUAGCAACCAUACAUAAGCAAUCACUCAAGAUCAGAAAGAUCGAAGAAAACAAUUCGGAAAACUUCAAAACCAAGCAAAUAACUCUUGCAACAUAAAGCAAUUUCUAACAGCACCAAAAUUAUGUGAAUUUGGCCUUAUCAGAAAGUUUAGGUCAAGAGCUUCGAUUUGCAAAAAGAAUCAACUCAAACGGAGUUACGGAACUCAAGUUAUGAACAAAAGAAGUUUGAAUACAAAUCUGUUUGAAUUCAAAUUUUAAAACUUUCAAAAACAUGUUUAAGUUGUUUUACUGGAUAUAGGGGAUCAUAACGAAAACGUGGGUGUUGGUUUCGUUGGAUUUGGACAAACGGUUGAAAAGUUGUGAUCAUUUGAAAACCAGGGGCUAAUCUGCAAAUAAAAUAUUUACGGAUAGGUCCCUGACGUAAAACUAACAGAAAAAGAAAAGGACUAAAUAACGAACGUUCGUUUUCUAACCCUAACCAGCGAACGUUCACUAAAUAACUAGAUUAAAAGAAAAACCGGGUUUUAAAACAGAAAACCGAAAAAAACCUAAACCCUAAACGAAAUAAACCGGGCCUGGCGGUUUACCGGAUCAGCGGUUCGGGCAAGAAAACCGAACGGCGACGGUCGACGGCAGCAGCGGCUCCGGCGACGGUUGGCGGUGCCGCGGCGACGGAGAGGUGCGGCGAGGCAGCGAGGUCGCAGCGGCGGGCAACGGCGGUGCGGGCGGCGGAUCCAGGCUCGACGGCGGCGUGCAGCGCAAGGAGGCNNNNNNNNNNNNNNNNNNNNNNNNNNNNNNNNNNNNNNNNNNNNNNNNNNNNNNNNNNNNNNNNNNNNNNNNNNNNNNNNNNNNNNNNNNNNNNNNNNNNNNNNNNNNNNNNNNNNNNNNNNNNNNNNNNNNNNNNNNNNNNNNNNNNNNNNNNNNNNNNNNNNNNNNNNNNNNNNNNNNNNNNNNNNNNNNNNNNNNNNNNNNNNNNNNNNNNNNNNNNNNNNNNNNNNNNNNNNNNNNNNNNNNNNNNNNNNNNNNNNNNNNNNNNNNNNNNNNNNNNNNNNNNNNNNNNNNNNNNNNNNNNNNNNNNNNNNNNNNNNNNNNNNNNNNNNNNNNNNNNNNNNNNNNNNNNNNNNNNNNNNNNNNNNNNNNNNNNNNNNNNNNNNNNNNNNNNNNNNNNNNNNNNNNNNNNNNNNNNNNNNNNNNNNNNNNNNNNNNNNNNNNNNNNNNNNNNNNNNNNNNNNNNNNNNNNNNNNNNNNNNNNNNNNNNNNNNNNNNNNNNNNNNNNNNNNNNNNNNNNNNNNNNNNNNNNNNNNNNNNNNNNNNNNNNNNNNNNNNNNNNNNNNNNNNNNNNNNNNNNNNNNNNNNNNNNNNNNNNNNNNNNNNNNNNNNNNNNNNNNNNNNNNNNNNNNNNNNNNNNNNNNNNNNNGAGGAGUCCGGCGGGGAGACGGCUCUGGCGAGCCGUGGCGGCGGCGGACUCCCGCCUGGAGUCGGUCGCGCGGGGGUGACGGGGCGGCACGCUGGGCGGGGCUGGCCUGGCGGCUAGCGGGGGCCGGCCCAGUUCGGCGGUGAAGAGAUUUUUUUUAAAACUCCGACAAACAAAAUAAAAACAAAUAAAAAUAAAAAUAUUAUAUAGGCAUAUAAUAUAUCAAAAUUUUCAGAAAAAGAUUUCCUACAGCGUGAACAUUUUUGUAAAGUCAAAUAAAGUCCACACAAAUUUUAAUAAAUCAAACAGUGCUACUGCCUUAAUAAAAUCCAAUAAAAAUAAUUUUAAAAAUACCAUAAUGAUUUCAAAUUUAUUUCUCUCCAAUUUUCUGAUGUAGAGAAUCAUGUUACCCUAUUUUCUGUAUAUUUUAUUUUUUGGAGAAAAAUAAUUUGAAUAAAACUCAAAUAACUCCAAUAUUGAAAAAUAAUUGCAAUGGGACUUUGAAUAAAUCCUUUGAAACUCCCAACUCAUAUUUCAUUUGUUUUGAAGAAGUCAUUUUAUCCUCUCUCGUGAAAAUCAUUGAGUUGCAUAAAGUUUCAGAAUUGGAAAUAUUCUCAAAUGAAAUUCAAAUAUUUUCAACACCCCCUUUUCCUUUAAAUAAAUGGAAGAAGUCAUGUCAUCUUCUCUCCAGGGUUUUGUGGUGAAAAGAUUUUGAAUUCAUGGAGAUCAUAAAAGCAAAAUGAAAGUUUGGGAAAGUCCUUUUAUUCCCUCUCAUUUAACUUUGAAAAGAUUUCAAAUUUCACUCACUUUCAGUCAAUCAAUCACACAACAAACCAACAAACAAUCAAUUCUAUCUAUUUAUUAUAACAUUCCAAAAUUUAGAAUUUUGGGAUGUUACAGAAACUGAACUUGACUGUCGAAACUGAAUUUUGCUGUCGAAACUGAAUUUUGCUGUCGAAACUGAACGCACUAGCAAGGUGAGGCUACACGUCGGUCGACUGACUUUUUCAUCUCUAGUCCGUCGAUUUUGCAGCCGUUGGAUACGAAAUCAAGGGCCUGCGGUUCAUCUUCAACCUCCACCCCCCUGAGCCGCCAACCACCACCAGCCAAACAGCAGGCCCCUGCCGCCCGCGGCCGGCGGUGCACCGCCCCGCCCGCCCCGAAAACACUACCCACCGCCGGUCCGCCGCCGCCCCGGCCAUCCCUCUAGGCCCCCCGUGCCGAGCUUUUUCUCCGGCGAUCCCCACGCCACCGCCCCGCCACCGCCGGCGACCACCGCCCCCAUCCUAAACCCUAAGAUAGAUAGUGGGGUACCUCUCCGGCGAGCCCCCCUCCCCGCUGCGGCUGGUUCUUCCUUCACCCCGGCGAGCCCCCCAACCCCUGAAAAUCGACUGACCCAAAAGUCGAUUCAGUCGACUGAAGUGUAGCUAAAUCGGAGCAGCAUCGCAAGCAAGAGCAAGAGCGAGAGCAGCAGCGCGAGCAAGAGCAAUAGCAAGAGCAGACCAAGCAGGGGACUGAGAGCAAGAGCAGAGCAGCAGCGCGAGCAAGAGCUAAAGCAGCAGCAACUCCUACUGAUGUGGACGUCGCCGCCGAGGGAGCGACGCCGUGGAGGAAGUGGCCGGCGACGCCGCCGUGGAUGGAUCCGCGCCGUGUCGGCUCGGGACCGAGCGCCGGCAGCACCGUGAGAUCGAAUCAAGAAGAAAAUGCGGUGAUUAGUGUACAACCUCUUUGGUGGCGCCGAUUAGGCCGCAGCUUCAUCCGAGGAAACGGUGAUGAUGAUGCUCUUCCGGUGGUGCAGGUGAAGACGGCGGUGUGGGAAUGGAGGUGGCACGAAAGACGAGGGGAACGUCGGGGCAGCUCCUUGGAGGUGGAGGACGGGGUGGCUGAACCGGCGGGACGAUGAGAUCGACGACGGAUCCUCAUCCGGUACGGUGGAUCAGGGACGUCGAGGUGUUGCUGUGGACGACGUCGUCGGGGAAGAGGCUCCGGCUGGGUGGCGGACGGAGCAGGGUGUGGGGUUUCGUCGCGGGUUUUCGCGGCCUCGGUGUAUGAAUGGGUGGGUGGAUGGGAUGGCAGUGGGGAACCAUGGCUUAGAGACGCGCUUGUCCGAAAUGUGGGGUAAGUUACGAAAGUACCCCCACCGAUUUGAGGCGGUUCUUUCGGUUCAGGGGUACCACGGGCAUUUCGCGUGUCGGGAUUUCACAGGAGGUUGGAGUUUUCGCGCGCGUUGUAAUUUCGGAAAUGCAAGGCGCGAGUUGAGAUGGAGGGAGUUGUCGGAGCACAACGAGACAAAGAUAUAUCUUAAAUAUUUCGGGCUAACAAGGCGCGGGUUGAAGAGGCGGGAGUUUUGCAGCACGAUAGACAGAGACGCUAGCUUGAAUUUUUGGCGUAACAAGGCGCGGCUUGAAAUUUCGGAAGAACAAGCUUAACGUGUACCCAAAAAAAGACAAUUUGCACCUCAGCACGCACAACACACACACAAACACCAUUUAGACUAGAGUAAGGUACACGUGCAUUGCACGCAUGAGAUUUGGCAACCAAAUUAUGAAUAAAUACCACAUUAUAGCAUGCAAGCUUUGAGUCAUAUAUGCAUGAUGUAGAUGUUCGUUUAGUUCUUAUAGUUCAUUUCAUUCAAAAUCAUCUAGUUUUUAUAAGAAAGCUAAUCUAUUUUAAGAUUCAUGGAAUUGUGCGUCGUAAGACAUAAAGUAAAAAACAAAUAAUGGCAAAUCAUGUAGAAAAACAUUUGGGCAAUUCUGAUACGGAAGAUUCUAGAACAAAUAAGAAGUGCUUGUGUUUUGAUGUUUGUGCAUUAUGCUUAAGUUCAACCAUGGAGUCUUCUAGAUUAUACUUGUUGCGAAAUCUGGUGGAAUCUAGAUGAUAUCCAACGGCCAGUAGUGCUCAAAUUUGCCAUCUUUGGACCAUCGGAUUCGCCUCAUCCAACGACCAUCUUUCAAAGUCAAAGUUACCCGCACACAAUAUAUAAAAAUAUAAAAUAUAAUAUAUAUAUAUAGGGGUAUAGAUAUAGAUAUGUGAUGCGAAAGCCGUCCAUCAUCUCCAAUUAGAAUAGUGUGUCCAUGCACGGAUGCGACGUGGCCAAAUGAUGUCUGCCAUCGGUAUCUCAAAUUCAAAUCAGUAUGACCUUGUUCAAUGUGUAUACAUUACAACAUGCUCGUUUCCAAACCACACCGCGCAGAUCUCCGUUAUAUUCAUGCAUGCAUGGGUUUCAAACAUCAUGAUCUCUUAUUCAAAUAUUUGAAUUCAACUUUACAUUGAUUAUGACCUCACCUAUUCUUUUACACCCACACAGUAGUCUUCUCUUUAUAAUUGUACCACUAACUUUCUCUCGUGCGUGCAUGCACACACACUACCAGUCGGCAUUAUCCAUCGCACGCAUACAAUCUUUUUCUUCAGGUCGGUCUCCCAUGAAGGCACACACCCACACACAUCCCCCUCUCCAUCAUAUCGGGCAUUCUUUAUCUCUCACGCGUGCAUGCGCAACGAUCGAUGUUCCUCUAUGUAUGUGUGUAUAUAGCUAGGUCUUUCAUAGUUUUCCACACAAACCGAUCAAUCGAUAUAUCCAGUGAGGUCUCACCCUCUUUCCCACGUCCACAUCGAUCAAUCUAUACCUCUCUAUAUAGGAUUAACAUAUAUAGCUAAUACACCCACAUUAAUUAUAUAUCCAACGUCCCCCUCUCAUCAUCCAUGCCUUCCGCUUCAUCUCUCAGACGCGUGCUCAAUGGCGAAGAUAGGGGGCAGUAAGGGCCCUGCCCCUCCCCCUAACAUCACUAUAUAUCGAGGCUAAUAUGAAUGUGAUCAUUAGAAAAUUGCUGCUAAAAAUGGUUUAAGUUCAUGAAUUGACGCUCCUCGUAAAGGAUUAGCAAUGCUUGGCCCCCUAGCUCAUUUAUUUUUCAUGGCUCCGCCACUGCGCGCAACAGCGCACGUGUUCGCCCCCCCUCUCUCUAAAUAUCGAUCUCGCACUUGUGCAUUCGUUCAUAGUCUCCCUCCACUCGGCCCCUCACACCAUCUUCUAGCCCCGCACCGGAUUUUGCCACAUGUACAAUCUAGCAGACUCCAUGGUUGAACUUAAGCAUAAUGCACAAACCUCAAAACAACAGUGGUUCUCUUUUGUUCUAGAAUCUUCCGUAUCAUAAUUGCCCAAACUUUUUUUCUAGUUGAAUUGCCAUUAUUUGUUUUUACUUUAUGCUUUACAACGCACAAUUCCAUGAAUCAUAAAAUAGAUUAAGGGCUUCUUUGAUUCAAAGGAUUCUCAAAGGAAUUUUGGAGGAUUCUAAUCAUUAGGAAUUUUUCCUAUCUUGGUUGUUUGAUUCGUAGGAUUGUAAACCAUAGGAAUUUUUCCAUAUGAUUCAUUUGAACUAGAUUUCAUAGGAAACAUCCCAUCCACUCAAACCUGUUUGAAAGAAUUCUGCGUUUUUUCUAUGCACAAUCAAACACUCGUACAAUCCUAUAGGAUUCAAGACAACAUUCCACUAUAAUCCCAUGUUUUUCCUAUUCCCGCGCUCUUAGCUUUUUUAUAAAAACUAAUUGAUUUUGAAUGAGAUGAACUAUAAGAAUUAAACGAAGGGCUACAUCAGGCAUAUAUGACUCAGAGCUUACAUGCUAUAGUGUGGUAUUUAUUCAUAAUUUGGUUGCAAAAUCUGAUGCGUGCAAUGCACGUGUACCUUAUUAGUACUUCGAGUAUGUGCAAAACACGUAAAUUAGAAUACCAAUGGCAUGCUACACAGUGUCUCUUAUAGUUCAUGAAGCCACGUGGCACAUGUGGAGGCGUUGUCGCGACCUCCUUGCGUGGAUUGAUCACAGUGACGUGCUGCUGGUUCCAGAAGAAUGUACUCGUCCUCCCUGAGCCAUACUGGCGGUACAUGCACGAAGCGAAGAUGUGCACGCACGCACUCAUUCCCUCGCACGCACACGCGGGUACACGGGCGGACGAAAUUUUGUACCAAGAUCCACCCCAUGUGAUAAUUUGACGCGUGUAAAGUCAUUCACUUCAUUGAUGGUCAAUUAAUACAGCGCAUGCAAAUUGAGUGGACGUGAGGGCGGAAGAAAGACAUUAUUACUCCACUGCGCGCAUGCGAGUAGUUAAAUCGUGGGUUGCUAGUAGUACUUCCAUUGGUAUCCUUCGUAUUUUGUGCCAAUUUUUGACAGUAACAUAAUAUUCACGCAUUUGAGCAGUGUAGUACUUGAAAUUUAUGUUCCGCUAAACUCAUCGGGAGCCGAUUCGGGCCUCGAAACCAGAACCAUGAAUUAAUCUUUACCUUGUUCCCAUCAUAUUCGAAAGCCUGCUCACACCUACUAGUACGUACCAAACCUGAACGUGUUCGCACUAUGCAGGUAUUAGUACUAGUGCUAGUACUUUGGUUAUAAAAAGGGGAACUACCUAACCAAAAAUUACUCUACCUUUCCUCCUCAUAAGUGCUUCUUCUUCGUCCGUCGUUGCCAUGGCCGGUGAGCAGAGCUCUAGGUCGAGAACUACUCGUAACAAGGGAGUGGCAACCAAGGCUGCGGAAAAAAAGAGAGGGCUCGCUGCCACGCAGAGUCCUCGAAAGAUCUCUCACGGGCAGGCGAUGGCUCCCAGGAGCACCCUAGCCGCGGAGGCGAACAUGCCGAGCCGGCGGAGCUGGAGUCGCUAUCCCUCGACGGCAUGCCCGAUCAGCUCAAUAAGCAGAAGGAGUUCAUCCAAGGCUUGAUGGAGUUGCUGAAGGAGAGCCUCGACGACAUGCCCGCUGAGCUCAAUCAACAGGGGGAGUUGACCGCCGGCUUGGUGAUGCUGCUGAAGAAGAGCAUUGCCUCGGAGAAGAAGGCGACCGGUGAAAUCCUGCGACUUCAGGAGGACAAGGCGAAGUUCUGCCACGAGAUCGACCUGUUGAAGGAGAAGAACGCCGAAUGGAAGAAGCUGCAUGAGAAUAGUAGUUCCUCGAUGAAGAUGCUGCAGGCCCUCGUCAUGGAACAGAAGGAGGAGUUGGCGAAGCUCCGCAUCGAGCACCCGACUGUUGUCAAGGUACGUAAUGCGGCCGUGGAACACAUGAUGAAGGCUCGCGUCGAGAAAUCCUGCGUCAUGGACAGAAUGAAGAAGAUGGCGGAGGAGACGCGCAAGGAGAUGGAGGUCGUGGAGGCGAUGAAGAAGCAGUUACGACUCCGCGGCGAAUUAGAUCAUUUGGGGUGAUAAUCUUCCUUCUUCUUUUGCUCCUGUGUUUCAUCUUCUGCUUCGGGUGUUUCGCCGCACGUGUCACGUUCUCUGCGAGGCAUGAAUAGAACAAUGUUUUUUUGAGGGAAUGAAUAGAACAAUGCUAACAAUGAGAUGACUAGCAAAUUAGAUCAUUUUUUAUCGCCAUAUGGCACUGGGCUGCCGUGUUUCGUGCUCCUCCGUCGCAGUACUACUCCAGUGGAAAACUUGAGUAUACCGCACAGUUCUUUGCUCCUCCUCGAUCAGGUCGUCGGUGCAUUUAUACGAGCAGUCAAAUCACAAGGCCCCGCCUUCCAGCAGUAAUGAGCCGUCAAAUCACAAAGGCCCUCGCCUCUCGUGAAACCGACCAAGCUAGACUGCCCCGCCCUCUAGCCUUUUAAAAAAUGUAUACUUUUGUACAGCAGUUGUAUCGAUGGAUUGCGCCAUGGAGCAAAACUUGAAAUUAAAAAAAGGUGGUACAUAUAGAGAGCGCUCGUCGCCAAAUUAUGCAUAUAGUACUAUUAAAAAGGCUAGUCACAAUAAUGGUGUCCAGCACAACCCACCCCUCAAAUAAAACUAAGAGGGUGCUUGGAUACGUUUUAGUCCCAUGACUAAAAGUAGUGGGACUAAAACAUGCUAGCCUCACCCAUGCUUGGAUCCAAAUACUAAAAAGGCUAAAAUCUAGUUAAUGAGCAUUUAUUAUCCUCCAAACCCCCCAAUCCAGAACUCGCCUGUGUUAAAGGAGGGGAGUUAAAUGAGGUACUUGGAACUUUAGGCUCUUAAAGAGAUUAUUUCUAGUCAGACUAAAAUAAGUACCUUGGAUCCAAGCACCCUCUAAGCAUCCUGGAAUUCUUUGACAAAACUAAGCACCCUGAAAUUCUAUGACAACUAAACUGCUGGCUAUAUGAUGUUGGCCAUAUAUAUUGUACGUAUAUAAUGUGAAGAAACGAGUGGUAGUACUAUACCAACUAAUAGAUGAAAUGUAAGAAAUACUAGUAUGUACGUACUGAAGAGUUAAAGUAACGAGAAGAAACAUAACAUAGUUCUGCUGGGGGCUCAGCACAACACACCCCUCCAAUUAAAGUAGCAAGAUGCCCGUGCAUUGCACGGAACAUCAAGAUGCAUUUUUUUACAAACUCCCGCAUGCAUGCAAGGGAUAAUUAAUGUCCUCCUUUGCUAGUACCACGAGGCAAACACCAUUAAUAUUGCAUCGAUUAGUGUUAGUGGCCUUGUAUAUCUGCAAAUUGUAAUUUUGAUACUGGCCCCUUGUAUAUAAAAAUGGAGGGAGAAAGAUGAGAGAUAAGGUGAGGAGGAGUGGGGCGUGGUGGUGACUGGUGGUCGGACUGGGCGGAGGCAUGGGGAUGGACGGCGCAUUAUGUCUAGGUUUGUAUCUCUCUCACACACACCCACGUAGGUGGGGGACGUGCACGAAGAGAAGAGGUGCACGCACGGCGCACGUACUCCCGUCUCUUUCCCAACCACACCCGCGCGGGUACACGGUGGAGCUCAUUUCUGUACGAAAAAGGCAGCCCACGUGGUAAUUUGGCACGUGUACUGGUUGUCCACUUGGUGGAGGGAGGAUCGUCUACCACGGGUGAACAAACAAAUUGCGACUUGACGCGUUAUGUUAAAUUAAAAAAAGAGGCAAACCAUGUGGGGCCUACCUUAGAGGCAAGGCUCUAUACACUGGAGUACUUUUGAUGUGUCCCGUCAACUCACAGAACGAGGAGAAGCUUGCUUAGUACGCUGUCUCCCCCGCCCACGGGCGCGGUGGCUCGCAGGAUGAGGUGAAGCUUGCUUACGAGUACUACUACUACUACUACUACUACUACUACUACUACUACUACUACUACUACUACUACUACUACUACUACUACUACUACUACUACUGUACGCCUUUACGCCCGCUCCCUCGCCCACGCGCGCGGUAGCUCGCAGCACGAGGAGAAAUUUUUACUACUCCCUCCAUUAACUCCUCGUCCCUACUACGUACUUUGGUUAGAACUCCCUCCAUUUACUUAUACAAGGCCACUAUAAAAAAAUACAUUUUGCAUCUAUACAAGGCCACAAAUAGUAAUCGAGACAAAAGUUACUACUCCCUCCUUUCCAGUUUAUGGCUCAAUUUCAAAAUCUCUCCAACCAAGGUAGACGGUGAGUGGUCGAAUUAAUUUCGUAGUUUGCACAAGUAAUUAGUACGCUCGUUUUUCUCAAGAAGUUAUGUUUACCGAGGCAUUAAUUAGAAGGAAUGCAUAAAUGACCACUAAAUUUCCAUGAACUUGUACAUGCAUUGGUUAGUUUCCUCUUGACACUGCUUGCGUCGGGUGAUCUAACGCACCUCGAAAUCCAACAUGUAAUGGUGCUACUACUAGUAUAGUAGAAUUUAGACUUAUCAAACGGAAAAACGAAUGUUUUUUAGAAGAGCCCUAUAAACCCUAGUGGGUACGUACUCCGUAAAAACAGAUUUUUCCAAAACUAAGUCGCUCCCUUUCAUGAAUUCUGUAGUAUACUCCUCCGUCGACGCUCCCUUUCAUGAAUUCUGUACUUCCUGUCGCCGACAUGUGGGACAUAUAGCAACCGUGUCGACGUGUCAAGCACCAAAUAACAGUGCAGAAUAGCAGGGGGGACGCACCCCACUCGUACCGGCCCAGUAGUAGUAAUGAGCAAUGAGACGUCAAAUCACAAUGCUGCACCUUCCCAGACGGACGAAGCAACCAUUAUUUCACACUUCGGUUCGCCAUCAUCUCAAACCACGUAGUAUUGCUUCUGCCUCAAGAGGGACACGCGCAUCGCCUGGGUACAUCAUGACACGUGGGACCGCAUGACAGGCCAUGCUCCCCCACCGAUCGCUCGGUAAAAUCACCUCAUUUUUACUAUACUUCCUCCGUAUCGGUUUACUACAUGGCAUGCACGUCGUUCUAGGUUGAGAAUUUAACUGGCUAUAUAUGUGAUGAACAGUAGUCUAGCCUUUUAAAAAAUGUAUACUUUUGUACAGUAGUACUAUCGAUGGAUUGCGCCAUGGAGCAAAAAUUGAAAUUAAAAAAGGUGGUACAUAUAGAGAGCGCUCGUCGCCAAAUUAUGCAUAUAGUACUAUUAAAAAAGCUAGUACGUGCUUAAUUGGGGUGCUAAAUUCUAUUAAUGAAAUACUAGUAGUAUGUACAUACUGAAGAGUUAAAGUAAUGAGAAGAAACAUAACAUAGUUCUGCUGGGGGCUCAGCACAACACACCCCUCAAAUUAAACUAAGCACACCUGAAAUUAAACUAUGCAACUAAUCCGGUAGACACCCCCAUUAGAAGUUUAGACCCACCAUGAGCAACGACACUGCCACCUUACUCAGAGUCCUCGUCCACGUCCUCGACUUUGUCCUUGUCCCUCUUCCUCUUGGCCGAUACUUCUUUGCAUGAACCGCACACUUGGCUGUUGCUCUUCAUCCAACCCUUGUAGAUAUUGAAACAAAGGUAGCCAUCCAUUGCAGCGUAGUGGAUGUGGUCUAUAUUUAGUACAUUCCGCUGCCAUGCAUGACGAUGAAACGUGUAAUGCGGUUUCUCCAGUUUACGGUACGAAGGAUGAACCAUGGCUCCUGCUAGGGUCAGCAUUGAAGGCUGACGAGAGGGCACCAGCUGAUUCUUCUGGAGGUCGAAGGGGUUGCCUACAACGAGGCCUAUCCGACCCAGGACUUCUUUGUCGUUCUUAAAGUCUACAGUAAAAAAUUUCAUUGUUUUGUCCUUGAGGAAGUUCUUAAAAUCCUGGCACUCAACGUCGGCAUGGCAUAUGUGGUAGACCAAGCAAACGUUAUGUACGCAAACCUGGAUCACGGCGGGCUUCUUCCUCUCUUCGUCCUUUAGAUCCUUCUCUCGUCCCAGGACUGUGGUGUACUCAACAUCUAGCCCAGCGACCCACUCAUCAUCUGAGUUUUCGAACAUGCGUCUGAAGCGAGAAAGGCAUCCUUUCAUCAUCGCGGAAGAACGGGUGUAGAUGACGUCGAACUCAUCGCCGGUGAUGGUUCUAACCUUGUAAUCACCGCCGAUCGUGGAGAUUUGGGACGCCAUGGAUUUGGGAGGAGGGUUAGGAUUAGUGGAACUGUCGUAAUGUGAAUGGACGAGACGACUAGGAGCGAACCGCCGUAGUAUUGAAGGACGUGCGGGGACGAGUAGGAGUGAACUGCCAGCGUGCGAACGGCAGGGCAGUGGCUUUCCAUUCUCCCAUGAUACGGGCUUCUGAGAGCCCUUGGAUCUGAGAUCGAAUGGUUGCAUGGCAUGAUUCUAGACCUAUGGGUGAAUAUCCUAUCCUGGAGGGUUAUUCUGCAAAUUUUCAGCAACUUAGCCUGCGACCGUUUGAUCUCAGAUCCAUGGGCUGCCAGCAGCCCGUAUCAUGGUCGCGCCUACCACGACCGUCGCGUCGCUCGCGCGGUCGCUCCCUUGGAGAUUUAACACGGUGCGUUAGGCUAUCUGAUGUUGGCAUGUCAUACAUAGUCAUCACUUAGUCACUCAUACUACAACAAGGUUGGCUAUAAGUGUAGUUUUUUUACUCCUCUCUAUCUCUUUCUUCGUACUCCCUCCGUCCCAUAAUAUAAGAACGUUUUUGACACUAGUGUAGUGCCAAAAACGUUCUUAUAUUAUGGGACACAUGGAGUACUAGUAUUUAUUGCAUUUGCCAAGGAGUGACCUCUUCCAAUGAAAUGGUGUUGCUAAGUUUGCUUCAUUUAAUUAGCUAUAGACUCAAAAUUGUCUUUUCACCUAGGUACACGCGCUUAGCACCGUUUCUUCCUUGGGUCACCAAACUAGUCUCUCUCUUCUUGAUUAACUUGCCACAACAGACUUUAUGCCUAUGUGGCAAGCUUAAGCACCUGUUGGAGCAAGUAAAAGUAAGUACAAUAGUGCGCUUUACAUGGCAUUUUUGCAUAUGUGGAGGAAAGAGAGGCAAGGAAAAAGUGGAGAAGUGGGAUCUCAUGCAAGAGCCAACCUCUACUACAUGGUGGAGCAUUGGGAGAGGCACCUGUAUGGAGGUGGUCAGGAAUCGGGAGACUCACGCCGGUCGUAGCGCCGCAGUUAAAAUGAUAAUGGCAAGUCAAAUCACGGGGCCCCACCUGUCCAGCAGUAACUCGCUCUCAAAUCACAUAGCCCUACGUUUGCAGCAGCCUACUCCCUCAUCUUCUUGUGUCUCUGUCGAACCGACUAGGCGGAACUGCCCCGCCUACCGCGCAGGAAAAGCCUCGCCCUCGACUUUUAAAUAGUAUACAGUACGUGGUCAAACUUUGACCCAAAAUACGCAAAACAACAAAAAAAUACUUCCAAGACCAGCGCCGCUCUUCCGCUCUUCUCCUCUUAAACCACCGCCGCUCCUCUCCUGUUCCAAUCUAAAUGCAGCGCCGCUCGUCUCCUCUUCCAUUUCAAAACCACCGCCCCUCCUCUCCUGUUCCAGUCCAAAACCAGCGUCGCUCCUCUCCCGUUCUAAUCCAAAACCAGCGCUGCUCCUCUCCUCUUCCAUUCAAAAACCAUCGCCGGCGAGUGAAGGUGCUGUGGAGAAGUAGAUCGAUGGAGGAGUACAACCGAUACGUGAGGAUCGCAGACGGCGACCCUGUGAAGCUAGCUAGGAUGUUGGAGAUACAGUCUUGGUUUGACAACAAGGACCAACUAGCGGCGACGGCGACAUCCAUGGCCAAAUAUCUGCAAUAGAGCGAAAAGGUGGCAAUACUCCCGGAGGGAGUCGCGCCGGAGUACAUAGAGCUGCUCCUCUGGGCCAUGGAGCAAACAGAUUCACCGAAUCCGAUCGUGAGGGAGCGGUGGUAGGAGUAUCGAUCCCAGAUGGAGCAUCCACCAGAGAUUGAAGGAUCGAGCAUCUACAGGGUGCCGUUUGUGAGGGUGUCCUGCAAGAGCUAGCCGGUGGAGUCUUCAUCGACCGAACCCAACUGCAAGAGGAGAAAAGCAGUUGGCCCAACGACGCUUGCUCGCCAUCGUCUCCCUCGCCGUUCACAUCGUCUCACGGGGCGGCUGUCUGCCGCCGAGGAAUAGGAGGGGGCUGCCCCCCCAACCCAAUAGUCAGGCAGGUUGUGAAUUGUCAAGAGGAGCUUAGGGUUGUCAGUAUUUGCAGGUUGUGAAUUGUGUUUUGUGUUGUGUAUUUUGAGAGUACUUUCAGAUAUGAAUGUCUUUUGAAUUUCAGAUUUGCAGUAUUGAGCAUAUGAAGUAUUUUAUGAAUUCUAGAGAUCUACUUUUAGCACUUAAAAAAAUGUAGUUUCAUAGGAGUAUAAAAGUGCAGACAAUGUGAUUCUCAGAGAAGAAACUGCAAGUUUCAGUUUCAGAUAAGAAACUGCAAGUUCAGUCUCAGAUAAGAAACUGCAACUUUCGGAGGCAGAGCAUUUAUAUUAACACGACCUUUUCAAACAGGGUUAACAUCAUGUUGGAAGUUUUAUUCAUGGUCGAAAAUGGAACUACCAGCCAGUUAACAUCAUGCUGAUCAACAUUCAUGCAUAGCACAUCUUCAUAUGAUGCACAGUCAAAAUGCCCACACAAUGUCGAGUGUGCGAAACAGAGAGAAAACGAUGGACAAAGUUUUGGCAAGUGUUGGAUGUGGUUUUGGGCUGCCCCGUCUAGGCCUGCUCCCUCCUCCCCGCGGCCGGCUCUGCUGCCGCGCAGGCCUCACCGCCCCACCGUACUCCCAUCGCUGGCCUAGCCAUCCCUCUACUCACCCACACCUACUGUUAUUCGCCGGCGACGACAGACGAACCAGUAAACCCUCGUACAGUCGUACUCCCCUCAGCGUGGGAAACGACUGCCGAGUCUUCCCUGCCUCCGUGUCGUUCCCUUCCUAGGCCUCGCCGUCGUCCACCGCCCUGGUGCUCUCGGUGCGGCCUGGUCAACGUGGUCAACGACCGACAUACAUCUGGAGUGGACUGUACGUGGAGAGGCCGACAGCUGGGUCCACGGCCGCACGCAAGGAAAUGCCUCCUUAUUACGCGCAAAAUAAUGGUUCCUCCACCUGACAUCAGGGACCCACCGAAAGGGCCUCUGUAUUUCGCAAAAAAAACGUUACCGCCGCUGACAGCUCGGACCCACCAGUUAUAUCUUCGCACGCAAGGAAGUGCCUCCUUAUUACGCACAAAAAAAUGAAUACCCCCCUGCUAGCUGGGACCCACCAUGGUGGGAGGCUGACUUGUGGGCCUACUAAGUUGACUUUGACGGGGGCCUUUGUCAACUUUAGUCAAUAUGAAUGAUUCUAGCUCCAGUGACCGUACGAUGUCCAUCCAACGGCCGUAGUGCUUCUUCAAUCUCUGGUCUUCUUGCUCCAGUCGCCCAAAGCAGCGCCGGUCAUGCCGCAUGCUCCUGCCUCCCGUGGCCGGCUGUGCUGCCGCGGAGGCCUCACUGCCCCUACUAUUCCCACCGCUGGCCAGGCCCUGCGGCGACGGCAGCCUCACACCGGAGCCGAACCAGUGAACCCUCAUACUCCUCUGCGUGCGGGCUUCCACUGCCGCGUCUUCCCCGGCUCUGCGUCAUCGCCUUCCUAGGCCUCGCCGUCGUCCACCGCCGUGGUGCUCUCCGCGCGGCGGUGUCAAUGUGGUCAAGGAACGACUUCCAUCGGAAGAGUACUGUACGUGGAGAGGCUGACAGCUGGGUCCACGGCCACAGCCCAGUUUUUUUUGUGAUUUGCCAAGUAAGUCGCUUUGUCAGGCCUGUUGGGCUGCAAAUCUUACAAGACGAGGAGAGCUUUCAUUCGGCUGGCCAAGAAAAUGGCCCAUCAGUAAUGAGAAAUGGGCUGUACAUUUUUAGAACACAUCAAACCGGCAAUUAGUUUCAAAUAUCUUUUUUUCAUUUCGAGAUUUUAAAUGACAUUAAUUUUUAUGCGUGGAGAAUUUGUUGGAUUUUAUAUUUAUAUUAAUUUAUUUUUAAAAUCAGUUUGAAUGUGAGUCGAAAUUUCGGGAUUAAAAACAGUUCGGACCGCACCGAAAUAUGCAAAAUUUCGUAUAAUUUUUUAACCGUGGCCACAAUAUGGGCUCUAAUGCUAACAAAAAGAAUAUGGGCUCCAAAAAAACCUUAAUAAUUAGCAAAUGGGCUGUAAAUUAUUAGAAAUAAUGGCAGAUGGGCUGUAUGCUGUUUUCCACAGAUUUGAGGCUUUCCAAAAAUAAGGUUGACGCACAAGCAGGGACUGUUGGAUGGCCAUCCAACGGCCGUCGUGCUUCUUCAAUCUCUGCUCUUCCUGCUCCAGCCGCUCAAACAAGCGCCGGCGGGACUGCCUGCUCCCUCCUCCCCGCGGCCGGCUCUGCUGCCGCGCAGGCCUCACCGCCCCAUCGUACUCCCAUCGCUGGCCUAGCCAUCCCUCUACUCACCCACACCUGCUGUUAUUCUCCGGCGACGGUAGACGAACCAGUAAACCCUCGUACAGUCGCAUUCCCUUCCGCGUGGGAAACAACAGCCGAGUCUUCCCUGCCUCCGUGUCGUUCCCUUCCUAGGCCUCGCCGUCGUCCACCGCCCUGGUGCUCUCGGCGCGGCCUGGUCAACGUGGUCAACGACCGACAUGCAUCUGAAGUGGACUGUACGUGGAGAGGCCGACAGCUGGGUCCACGGCCGCACGCAAGGAAAUGCCUCCUUAUUACGCGCAAAAUAAUGAUUCCUCCACCUGACAUCAGGGACCCACUGAAAGGGCCUCUGUAUUUCACAAAAAAACGUUACCGCCGCUGACAGCUCGGACCCACCAGCUAUAUCUUCGCACGCAAGUGCCUCCUUAUUACGCACAAAAAAAAUGAAUACUCCCCCUGCUAGCUGGGACCCACCAUGGUGGGAGGCUGACUUGUGG
rnacentral:lncRNA from 1 species